GUACGCGUGCCAACAGAACAAGUUCAUGACAAAAUGUCUCAUUUUUGUAUACUUUUUUUCUGCUUUGUUCUGUUUGUCUGCAGCUGUAUUCAACGAAGAACAUGACAUUGGCACCUACUCCAUUAAGGCUGUUGAUGACCCGAGAACGUUGAACAAGACCCUUUACAUCAGGCCUCCCAAGAACACCUUAUCGUUCAACGAGCUUGUGGCUAUAUGGGAGAAACUGAUUGGUAAAAGAAAAUCUACGUUCCAGAGGAGCAAAUUCUCAAAGACAUCCAGAGUCAGUAAUCUUUAUAUCAUUUCAUUUUUAGUCAAGACUCUUUCUUUCAAUUUAACAUAGGUAAUCCUGACAUUGUAUAUUGCAUACUGCUGCAGCAUCUCCAAUGCCAAUUAAUAUCAUACUCGCAAUCAACCACUCAACAUUCGUGAAAGGUGAUCAAACCAAUUUUGAGAUAGAGCCAUCGUUUGGGGUUGAGGCCUCGGAACUUUAUCCAGAUGUUAAGUACACCACCGUGGAGGAGUACCUAGGUCACUUUGUCUAAACCACACAUUUGAUGUCUUCGAUCACUCGAAUAAACUGUUAGAUGAUGAGUGUUGUUAGACAUUUUCUGGAAGUAUGAGUGCCUGUUAACUAUGUCAUCGGAGACACAUUGAAUGGUAUGUUUUAAGUCUGUUUUUCCUGUCCAUACUGAGUAGUACUAUAAUGAAACGACAGAAAAUGGAAGAUAUUCGUGUCUUUUUGCUUUUUGCAUUGUUGCUCUACCAUCUUGUACCAGAUUUUAAGGUGUGAUGUAAUAUGAAAGAGUCUUGUUGUCAAUAAAGAUCAAUCAAAGAGGACUCUCUACUGUUUAUACAUGAGGCUCACUCAUUUCAGUUUUCUCGAGCUCUCUUAUGAGUUCAAGUAUCGUAUGGAACAUAAUCAACGGAUCGUUUGCCUUGAAAUCUAAAGAAUUCCGUUAGGAACCUAUGUAAUAGUAUCCCGAUAAAAUAGCUGAUGAGCGGAUACAUAGUGAUUGGAAAAUAUUGUCAAUUUGGUAUGAUGAUUUUAAAUUACGAGUUACUACCCUACCAAUCUAACAUUAUCAUUCAUGCUUUAGUCAUACUCCAAGAAAUCCCUCUGCUUUUUCUCUACUAGUUAGGUAAACUUUCCAACUUCACCUAACUUUUGUUAGGAAGAAUAUGCUUCUUUAUUCUAGAAUGGAUCAUGAUGCUUUCUUAAGUAAAGUGGGGAUCUUUACACGAAUAGCUGAGCAGAUUUACUGUUUAUUUUCUUUAGUCAAUAUACAUAAAUUAUACACGAUCAUACACAUAUUAUACAUAAAUUACACAUCCACCAUUAUUGUUUGUUAUAUGAGAAAGGUAAGUACAAAUGAAAAAAAAAGUUGAAUAGAAUAAAAAGAAUUGACUAAUUGCUUAUGUACUAUAAUAAAUGGAAUUGUUGUUGUACCUUCUGUAGAUAUAUAAAUAUAUACACAAAUCAUAUUUUGUCCAUCCAUCCCUUGCCAAAAUAAUGCAAGAAGGACCACCAUGUCUCAAAUGCCCAAGUGGGGUUACCUUUUAACAAUUUGGGAAAAUAAUGGUACUCAAUUUCUUGAACCAAAAUGAAGUUUUUCACUCUUCAUUAUUGACCCUAUGUACACCUUAUAAACUAUGUUGCUCGGAUCCUCCAUAAAUGUCACUCGUAUCUGUAUCAGAUCCCCCAAACAUACACUACUUUUAAAGGAACUGACAAAGGUACGACCAUAUUUUUGAAGUAUCCGAGCAAAAUAGCUUAACAACAUUUUCAUCUCCCAUAGCCUUGUCGUCCAUGUGUAGCUCCCUCCUUGGCAACAACCCCAUCAUUUUCCCUGCCUUUAGCUCACCUGCAAAAACAGACUAAUUGUAACGCCUAGUUAUUCGAAAGAACUAGAAUUAGAAAGAAACCGUUUUUGGAAAUAAUCAAAUUUGGAAAGUUUGACAAAUUAAACUAAGUAUGAGUUUGGGUCAACUUCAAACGACCAUAACACAUAGCACAAAAUAAUUUAGGUGGGCUACAAGAUAUCAAAUUAAAGGUCUUCGAAUUAUCUUUCCAACGCCACCGAGUUUGCUAGUUUUUGAGUUCGCAUGAGGGAGAUAUGCCCGUUUGAAGUCAGGCUGUCAGAAUAAGGAAAGUCACCCGGAUUUUAGAAGGGUAUUUUGGUCUUUUCAUUACCCAAUUAAUUAAAUUCUUUUUUAGUAGUUUAAUUGGGGUCUAAACUGAUUUGGUUCAGUUUACGCUUCAUAAAAAUUACGCUAGGGUUUUGAGAGAAGAGAAAAGAGGAGAAGAAGCCAAUGAUUUGUCGCGUUCUUGAAGUUUAGCUUGUGGAUUUCACCAAGGGUUAAUCCCUACAAGGUAUGUGAGAUCACAUAGCGUUGGGUUCGUUCACCUAAUCACCAAUCAUGAUUCAAUUUAGCGUAAUUAUGUUAUUGAAAGAAUAGUUUAUGAGUUAUUGAGGAGUUUCAUUAAAAGUUUCGUUUGAAUCUUGAUUGUUGAAGUUUUGAGGAGUUCUUGAGUUAAUUGUAUGAGAUCUAAGGUUGUUUUUGAGUAGAUUCUUGUAUACUUUGGUUGUGUAUUCGAAUCUAAGUAUUUAGGAAAGAAACCAAUCUAAUCUGGGAGGCUUAGAGUUGAAAAAUAAGCAAGAAAAGUUAGGGAUUUUUUGGGCUGGGCAUAGGGCGUUAUGCUACUCAGAGCGCCCCAAGACAGAGUCUGUGGGUUGGGCACUGGGGCGCCGCGCCACUUAGUGCACCAUAACCCAGACUCUGUAGUUCAGGGUCUGGCGCCCGACGCCACUCAGUAUGCCAGGUCGCCAGAUCCUCUACCCUUUCCCACUUCUUUCAGUUUGAGUUCCCUUGAAUCGUACCUAUGUUUUCUAGUUGAUUUCUACACUUUAAGGUACGUCUAAACAUCAUGAGAUCAGAAACCUUGAAUCCAUAAUUCAAAUUCAAGGAAAGUUAAGAGUCGAGUCAAAAGAGUUCUUAGAGUCUUUCAAAAGUCUUUUACAUUUGUUCUAAAACAUGUUUUAAAGACUUGAGCAGUGAGUUGAGUAAGAGUAAGAGUGAAGUUCAUUUCUUCAAAAGAUUAUAAGGGAACUAAGUAUUCCCAAGAGUUAAAAUGUUUUCACAUUUAAACAAGAGAGGAAACACCGAUUUCCAAGAGAGGAAACAUUGAAUUCCAAGAGAGCCUUUGAGCUAGUUUUUAAGCAAUAAUCUCAAACCACAGAAAAAGUUAUGUUUUUAAAUAAACGAGCUAGUAUAUUUUGGGAGUCGUAUUGAGCACCGAUUUGGGGACAACUAUGAAUUUAGAUAAUUCAAAUGUCUCCAAAAACGUGUAGCCAACAUGGGUAGACAAGGGUCAUACUUUUUAGAUGAUUCAUUGAUGCUUUUAGCAUACACUAGUGGAUCUACUUAGUGAAUAAGAUUAUAUACCCCCGGCAAGGUAUAAGACGACACUGGCAUCGUGAGGCAAAACGAUGUACCAUCGGUUAAGCUCAUAAAGAUGGUUGUCGAUUAGACAAACUCCCACAAAGAUAUUUUGUAUUCUUAUAUAAAAUGAUGCAGACCAAAUGACAUCAGUACAUCAAAUGUACGAGCAUGCAAGGGAAAUUCUAAAACAAAACAUAAGCUUGAACUGGAACUGAAUGAAACACUUACCUCGUCUCAACUUUACUCAACUCAUUUCAAUAUAAAGUAGUAAAUAGAUGUAGUAUAAAGAAAAAACUUUAAACAAUAAACAACAACUCAAUGUAUUAGAAAAUACAAUAUAAAUUUUAUGUGUAUAUAUAAAGAUACAAAAUAACUCGGUAGGAGAUUCUCUAUCGACAACCAUCACUAUGAGUUAUGUGAUGAUACGUCUUGCCGUACACUGCUAGGACCGUCAUAUACCUUGUCGGGGGUAUAGAACCUACUACUAAGUGGAUCCACUAGUCUAUACUAAAAGCAUUAAGGAAUCAUCUAAAAAGUAUGACCCUUUUCUACCCAUGUUGGCUACACGAUUUAUGGAGACUUUGAAUUAUCUGAAUUCAAACUCGUCCCUAAAUUGGUGCUCAAUACUACUCCCAAAAUGUAACUAGCUCAUAUGUUUAUAAACAUAACUCUUUCUGUGGUUUGAGAUUAUUACUCAAAAACUGCCUCAAAAGCUCUCUUGGAAAUCGGUAUUUCCUCUCUUGUUUAAAUGUGAAAACAUUUACUCCUUGGGAAUACUUAGUUCCCAUAUAAUCUUUUGAAGAAAAGAACUUCACUCUUACUCUUACUCAACUCAAUGUUCAAGUCUUAAAACAAGUUUAAAACAAUUGUAAAAGACUUUUGAAAUGACUCGAAGAACUCACAAGACUUGACUCUUAACUCUACCUUGAAUUUGAAUUAUGAAUUCAAGAUUAUGAUUUGUGAUAAGAAGGAUAUCGUGAUGAUUAAAGGUGUUUUUAGAUAGUUAAUAAUGAGAAACGGUAAAAAAAACACUGUCUGGGGCGUCGCGCCUGCCAGAGCACCACAAAAACUUCUCUGAAGUUUGGCCUCUGGCAUGUCGCGCCAGUCAAACUUCUCUGAAGUUUGAGGGCUGGAGCCCCGCGCCUCUCAGAGCGCCAGGGAUGCCAGUUCUCCCCAUUCGUUCCCCACCUUUUAGUACUUGUUCCUAAGUGAUGUACCUAUGUUUCCUAGUCGAUUCUAACACUCUAAAGUACAUCUAAACAUCAUGAAAUCAUCCAUAAACAUGAGAUCAUGACCUUGAAUCCAUAAUCCAAUUCAAGGAAAGCUAUGAUUAAAGUCAAAGAAGUUAAGAAGCAAGUCAAAGCAAAGUUUUCUUAAAGUUUUUCAAGAGUCUUUAUUAAACGUUUAAACUUCGUUUUAAGGCUCAAGUUUCAAGUUAAGCAAAGAGUAAGGAGUUGAAUUCAUUUCUCAAAAGUUAUUAGGGAACUAAGUAUUCCUAAGGAAGUUUAUAAAUGUUUUCACAUUUGAGCAAGUAAGGAACUAUGAUUUCUAAAAGAGCCUUUGGGCUAGUUUUCAGUAAAGGGAACAUCGAUUCCAAGAGAGCCUUUGGGCUAAACUUUGAGCAAUUAUCUCAAACUAAAGAAAGAGGUGUUUAAUACACAUAUGAACUAAAGUAUAUUUUUGGAGUAGUAUUGAGCACCGAAUUGGGGACGCGAGUUCAUAUUAACUAAACUCUCCAUAAGAACCAUGUAGCCAUCAUGGGAUUUAAUAGGUCAUACUUUUUAGAUGAUCACGUAAGUUAAGCUAGUGGAUCCACUAAGCUAAGUAAGGUCCUAUACCAUGGCAAGGUAUAGGAUGGUCCUUGGCAACAUGAGGUAAAACGUUGUAUCAUCACUAGGGCUCAUAGUGGUGGUUGUCGGUUAAAGAAUCUCUCACUAAAGUUAUAUUACUUUUAUAUAUAAGUAAAGUUGAAUUUUUUAUUGCUCUAUCUUUAACGAACUAAGUUGUUUACACUGUUUUACAAGCUUUAUAUAUAUAUUGCAUGUGUCUUAUUGCUUUAUAUUGAGUUCAGUUGUUCAUGAGUUGUACAGAGCCAAGGUAAGUGUUCCACUUCACUCUUUUCAAGCUUAAGUUGUUGUUUAUCUUUUCAACUCGCAUACUCGUACAUUCAAUGUACUGAUGCCAGUUGGCCUGCAUGUGCACUCUAGAGACAGUGGUGAUCCUCUUUGCAUUUCGGAGGACUCGGUUAUUUUGUUUUUNNNNNNNNNNNNNNNNNNNNNNNNNNNNNNNNNNNNNNNNNNNNNNNNNNNNNNNNNNNNNNNNNNNNNNNNNNNNNNNNNNNNNNNNNNNNNNNNNNNNNNNNNNNNNNNNNNNNNNNNNNNNNNNNNGGGGUCUGUCCCAACAUCCAUCUCAGUAUUAUAGAGGCUUCAUAGACAAUCAUACAGUAGUUGAGACUCUCAUCUUUGUAUUUACAGAUAUUCUAUUUGAGACAUAAGUUGCCAUUUUGGCCAGACUUUAUCAUUUAAGUUGUUUUAUGAACCUAUAUUGUGUUGAGUUAAGUCUUCCGCUGAGUUAAGUAGCCGGGCCAAGGGUUCGCUUGGGGCCAGCAAUGGUCUCCGAGUGCCGGUCACAUCCAGGGUGUAGGCUCGGGGCGUGACACUUAGUUUGUAAUUAUAUAAGUAUAUUGAUAUUUUGUUAAUAGACAGACGUCUUAAGUAGUACACUUUUGUAAUUUUCACUAUUUAUAUUUUAGUUAUUACUUAUUUUAUUUAUGAAUUAUUUUAUUAGUUGUCUUGUUGAUAUAUGAGUCUUUAAUUUAUUUCCUUUCAAAAAAUGAAAAAAUGAGUUGUCUUUAUUUAAUUAGUAUUUUAAAAUUAGUCAAAUGUUUAGUCAAGUCGUUGGUCAACCGCAUGUUAGCAGAUAUUUCAAAUGCUUAAACCCUUUUCAAAAUGUAAAUUGAACCCCGAACCCUAUUUGGAUUUCAAAUGAUUUUUAAUCUGUUUAAAUCUUUGAAAAUCUUAAGUUUUCUUAAUUUCUUUCAAAAAAUUAAGUGGCAACUCUCUUUGAAAAUCAAUUUUUCUUUUAAAACUUAAGUUGAUUUUCGAAAAAAAGUCUUUUAUUUCUUUUUUCGAGUAGAACAGUGGGAAUGUGACUCCAUUAGAAAGACAAGAGAUAUCUGAUAGAAAUUAAACAACAAUAAGGAGCAAAUUAAAGUAGUUUCAGGAAGAAAAAAAAUUAGGCUCUUGAUACAAUGAUAAGAAUUGAUAAAUCAGAGACCGAAAAGAGUUGAAAACUAUUUUGUAUUUCUAUGCUUUACAAUUGCUAAACUAUUUAUAUACAAAGUUACAAACAUGAUUCUAGCACUAUAUCAUAUCUUGCGCAAUAUCAAUGGUGUGAUUACAAAAGUGUACUACCUAAGACUUUUAUUAACAAAAUAUCAAUAUACUUGUAGUUAAUGUGGUACAUCAGGACAUAACGAAAAGACAUGCCCUAAGUUUGCUUAUCAAACUUAACAAUGAUGUAUUAUUUUGUAAUUUUCUUAAUUGGUUUUUCUUUCUUCUUCCAGAACCUCUGGAAUUUUUUAAGACUGAUAACUGCAGAUUAUUACAACUUUGGUUAGUCUUCAAUAGUUUAUUCCCAUUGAUGAUUUUUUAAUGUACAUGUAGUUGGUAUUGUCGUGUUUAGUUGAAAUGCAUUUAUUAAAUACCAACUUAAAACUUGGAAAAAAAAACAAACAACUACUUUGUCACGACCCGAGCCUACACCCUGGACGUGGCCAGCACUCGAGAAUCAUUUCUGGUCCCCAAGCGAACCCUUAUCCUGGCUGACUACAAGCGGAAGACUAACUCAAACAUACAAAGCUAAAAAAAGAAUAAAAUUCAUGAAAAACUUAAAUAGAAGCUUUAACACAAAAGAGAAUUCUGAAUAAAAUAAAUUAUUCAACUCACCAUAAAAUAGGCAACUUAAGUCUUUAAAACAUUUAAAGAAAUAAAUGAUACAUACUUCUUAACUAUACUGACUAUCUAUGAAGCCUCUAACUGUUAAAGAUGAAAGUCGGGACAAGACCCACGACAUCUUGACUAAACUGAAAAGUAAAUGAAAUCCUCCGGAAACAAGAAGGCUCACUAUAGCAAACUCGAACUUUCGAAUGUAUCAACAAAGCUCCAGUAGAUGAUCCAGAAUACCUGUGUCUGCAUUAUAAGAAGAUGUAGGCCAAAUGGCUCAGUACGUGGAAUGUACGAGCAUGUAAGAGGAAUUCUAAAGCAUAAACAUAAGCUUGAGCUUUGAUAAGAAGGAAACAUACUUACCUGGAUCAACUCAACUCAACAUAAUUAAACUCAUUUCAAUAUAAAGAGGUUUAAAACAAGCGCAAUAUAAAGAAAAGUUGUUUAAAACAUGAUGUAAACUCUGUGUGUAUGCAAAGAUACAUAAAACUCUGAGAUGUAUGUAAAAAUACAAAUAAUCUGAUGUAUAUAAAAAAAAUAUAUACAAAGUACUGUUGUGGGAGUUUUUCUAACCGACAACCAUCACAUAAGAGCUAUUGUGAUGAUACAACGAUCUUCAUCACGCUGCCAGCGCAUCCAAUGCCGAGCCAGAGGUAUAGGACCUAAAUUACUAAGUGGAUCCACUAGUCUAUGCGAAAAGGAUUCAUCUAAAAAGUAUGNNNNNCCUAUACCUUGUCGAGGGUAUAGAACUUGAACUACUAAGUGGAUCCACUAGUCUAUGCGAAAAAGAUUCAUCUAAAAUGUAUGACCCUUUUCUACCCAUGAUUGCUACAUGGUUUAUAAGGGUUGUGGGUUCUCUGAACGCUCCCCCAUAUCGGUGCUCAAUACUACUCCCAAAAUAUGAUACUAUCUCUUUAUGUUUAAAAACAUACUUCUUUCUGUGAUUUGAGAUAAUUGCUCAAAAACUUAGCUUAAAAGCUCUUUUGGAAAUCUCAGUUUCCUUUUUUGCUCAAAUGUGAAAACAUUUACUCUUUAACUAAAAACUACCAGAAAGGCUCUUUUGGAAAUCAAGGUUUCCUUUCUUUCUUAAAUGUGAAAACAUUUUAAACUCUUGGGAAUACAUAGUCCCGAUAUAAUCUUUUGAAUAAAUGAAAUUUACUCUUUACUCUUUACUCAAAACUUAAGUCUUAAAACAAAGUUAAAACGUUUGUAAAAGACUUCUUAAAAUAUGGAUCAUGCCGAAUUAUGGACGUGAACGACUCAAUGCAAGGUUUUCAACAACCAUAGAUAGAACUCAAUACUCGAAACUCAAGAUCAUCAAUGAUAAUAAUCGUUUAAAGAAUGCUCGACUCAGAGGAUUCAUGCGGAAUUAUGAGCAUGAACUACUCAACUCAAGGACUCAAAGAUAGUUCUCAUCUCAAGACUACUCGACUUAUAGGGUUCAUGCGGAAUUAUGGGCAUGAACUACUCAACUUAAGGACUUCAUGGGUAACAUGUAAUAGUCUCAUGAUUAGGAAUAUAAUCUCAAAAAGGGAUUAGGAACUCAAUACUCAAGACUUAGAUCUUGAAGAUACUACUCCUCUCAAAGAUACUCAACUUAUGGAGUUUAUGCAGAAUUUAUGGGCAUGAACGACUCGACUCGAGGGUCUACAUAACAACAUGGAACUCUUGUAAAUGACUCUUUUCAUUCUCUUACUUACUUCCUCAAAACUUAGUUCAAAUUGAUAGUUGAUAUCAAAUGAUUCACAAUUGAACUCAAAUACUUUCUUGAACUCUACUCUUAACUCUCUCUUGAAUUUAAAUUAUGGAUUCAAGAGUUAUGAUUUAUGCUAUGACGGAUCUCGUGAUGAAAAGUAGACUCAUUAAUACAUUCUCCUCACUCUCAUACUCACUUGCUCGAGUCUUGACACAAGUUACUUGAAGUUGUAGAAGACUCCACAAAAAGACUCAAAUGGACUUUCUUAGAAUGUUCGAAAGAAUUCUCAAAACUUAACUCUCAACUCUACUUUGAGUUUGAAUUAUGAAUUCAAGGAUAUGAUCAUGUUAGGAAUGAUUUUAGGUGUUUAGAAGUAGCUUAGAGUAGUUAGAAUCGAAAAAGAGUGAAGGUACCCUUCGAAAGAACUCAAACGGAGCAACCAAUUGCAAACUGGACGGAGAAGGCGACCCUGGUGCUAUGGGUGGUGCGGGGCGCCAGCCCCUAAAGUUCAGAGCAUACUUUGGGGCGCUCUGGCUGGCGCGACGCGCCAGGCCCCAACACAGAAGACUCGACGAAAUUCUUUACUCGUUUUCUCACCUUAUCUUGCCUAGAAUCGAACGGUUUCUUCUCCAAUCACUUAGAAUCGAUUACUUAACAUAAGUACACUCUAAUCUACUCAAUACAUCCCUUAAAACACUCACUUUGAUCUCAAGAAAUCAUCCAAAACCCAACACAACAAGAUUUAGAAUGAACUUCAAGAACACCUAUCAAGAACUCAUCAAGAACUAUAAUCUUUCAACUUUAAGAAUAAAAUUGCGCUGAAAAUAACAUGAUUGGAGUGUGGGUGAACAAACCCAACACUAUGGAAGCUUACAUACAUCUUAGGGAUUAAACCUAUGGCGAAAUUCCGCAACAAGACGCAAGAAUAUCGACGAACGCUUGAUCCUCUCCUUUUUUCUCUUCUUGAACUCUCAACUAAAACCCUAGGUGUAUAUUAGAAUUAUAAAAUUGAACCUAAUAGGAUUAGACCCUUAAAAGCUUACUAAAAUCGAAUUAAAUUUGAUUGGGUAAGGAAAAGACCAAAAUACCCCUCACUAUUUCCGGCUAGCUUUCCUUAACUGGACAACUUAACUUCAAAAGGACAUAUCUCACUCAUUCGACCUCGAAACUUAGCAAACUCGGAGGUGUUGGAAAGAUAAUUCAAAUAUAUUUCAUAAUGUAUCUUGUAGCACACCUAACUAAUCCUGUGCUAGGAUUUAUGAUCGUUUGAAGUUGAUCCAAAACUCAUACUUAGCUUAACUUGCAAAUUUUUAGAUUUUGUUAUUUCCAAUUUAGUUCUUUUUGGAACUCAAGGUGCUACAUCUAGUGACCUUAACACUCAAGAAACUUAAUUUUCUCGGUAAAAUCCUACUCACAAUGAAGGAUGGUUCAAGUCUUAAAUCGAAAAAAAUUCUGGAGUGUUACAUACUAAGAGUAAUACAACAAAGUAAUUGGUAUACUGUUGGAGUAAAUAUAACAUAAUUCUGUCAUAUUAUUAGUUAUAUAUAGAGAGUAAAAUGAUGGUAUUAUGUACCAACAACAUACAUUGAAAUUCAAACGUUUUGAUUAUAUACCAACAUCACACAUUGUUCUAUUACAAAACCAAACGUAUACCAUUAAGUUAACACAAUAUAUUCACCAAAAAUAAUGAACCUUAAAAACAGUGAUUAAACUCCGAAAUGGACAGCACAACCAAUAAUAAUUUCAACAACACCAAGAAAAAAUAAACACAUAGUAUAUUAUACAGAGGAAAGUAAUUUGAUUGGAUAAUUUGAUGAAAGUAGUCAAAAGUAUUGGACCAACAAUUAUUGUGUUGGCGAAGCUGAAGCAAAUCAUAAUUCAACAUCAUUUUAAAACCGCUUUAUCAAACACAAUGCAUUUUUUUAUAACAACACACUCGUUAAUUCUAUCAGAGAAUUCGUUGGCAUCUCUAAUACGAACUUUGUCUGGCGAUUGAGUGAAUGCAUUCAACUCAAAAGAUGGUCUUAAACAAAUUUUGGGUGUGCUGUCAACGACAACUACAAAUUUGUUAAGCCUAGGACUUUUACGCGGCGUCUUCACCAUCGGAUUGGAAUGAGAGGCGAUUAAGUGGAGAAGAUGCAAGGUUAAUGAGAUAUGGAUGAAGAAAAUUGAAGGGUUAAUCGAUAUAUUGCUAAAAAAAGUAGUUAGGAAAUAUAAAAAAUUACUGAAACAUGUGAAAAAAGAAUUUCUAAUAUUUAUUUGAACUAUAACUCAAUUAUUGAUAACUGUACCAACUUUAUUGGUACAAUAAAAAUCUUUAUAUAAAAGGGAAUACAUUAAUAUGAUAACAAUAAAUGACUACAAAAACGUAAAAAAGGAAAAAAUAAGAAUAAACAAACGUGUGAAUGUGGGUGUUUAAGGAGAGAGAAUAUUUGAUAAAUUUAAUACCUAAUAACACUCCACAAAAUAUGGCACGAAUUACUAAGCGUCAGAGAUAGAGAAAAAUCGGAUAAAAAAUUAAAUUAAAUGUUUUGUUAUGUAUGUGAUUUAAAAACUAUGUUUGUAAUUAAAUAUAAGUAUAUUGAUAUUUUGUUAAUAGAAGUCUUAAAUAGUACACUUUUGUAAUUUUCACUAUUUAUAUUUUAGUUAUUACUUAUUUUAUUUAUGAAUUAUUUUAUUAGUUGUCUUUUUUAUACAUGAGUUAUUUUCUUUAAAAUUCCUUUAAUUUAUUUCCUUAAAAAAAAUGAAAAAAUGAGUUGUUUUUAUUUAAUUAGUAUUUUAAAAUUAGUCAAAUGUUUAGUCAAGUCGUUGACCAACUGCACGUUAGCGAAUAUUUUGAAUGCUUAAACCCCUCUCAAAAUGUAAAUUGAACCCCGAACCCUAUUUGGAUUUCAAAUGAUUUUUAAUAUGUUUAAAUCUUUUGAAAAUCUUAAGUUUUCUUAAUUUCUUUCAAAAAAUUAAGUGGCAACUCUCUUUGAAAAUUGAAUUUUCUUUUAAAACUUAAGUUGAUUUUCGAAAACAAGUCUUUUAUUUCUUUUUUCGAGUAGAACAGUGGGAAUGUGACUCCAUUAGAAAGACAAGAGAUAUCCGAUAGAAAUUAAACAACAAUAAGGAGCAAAUCAAAGUAGUUUUAGGAAGAAAAAAAUUUAGGCUCUUGAUACCAUGAUAAGAAUUGAUAAAUCAGAGACUGAAAAGAGUUGAAAACUAUUUUGUAUUUCUAUGUUUUACAAUUGAUAAACUAUCCACUAUUUAUAUACAAAGUUACAAACAUGAUUCUAGCACAAUAUCAUAUCUUGCGCAGUAUCAAUGGUGUGAUUACAAAAGUGUACUACUUAAGACUUCUAUUAACUAAAUAUCAAUAUACUUGUAGUAAAUGUGGUACAUCAGGACAUAACAAAAAGACAUGCCCUAAGUUUGCUUAUCAAACUUAACAAUGAUGUAUUAUUUUGCAAUUUUCUUGAUUGGUUUUUCUUUCUUCUUCCAGAACUUUUGGAUUUUUUUAAGAAUGAUAACUGCAGAUUAUUACAACUUUGGUUAUUCUUCAAUAGUUUAUUCCCAUUGAUGAUUAUUUAAUGUACAUGUACUAGUUGGUAUUGUCGUGUUUGGUUGAAAUGCAUUUAUUAAAUACCAACUUAAAACUUGCAAAAAAAACAAACUUAGAGUAAUACAACAAAGUUAUUGGUAUACUGUUGGAGUAAAUAUAACAUAAUUUUGUCAUAUUAUUAGUUAUACAUAGAGAGUAAAAUGAUGGUACCAACAACAUAUAUUGAAAUUCAAACGUUUGGAUGAUAUACUAACAUCAUACAUUGUUCUAUUACAAAACCAAACGUACACCAUUAAGGUUACACGAUAUAUUCACCAAAAAUAAUGAACCAAAAAAACAGUGAUUAAACUCCGAAAUGAACAGAACAACCAAUAAUAAUUUCAACAACACCAAGAAAAAAUAAACACAUAGUAUAUUAUCCAGAGGAAAGUAAUUUGAUUGGAUAAUUUGAUGAAAGUAGUCAAAAGUAUUGGACCAACAAUUAUUGUUGCUGGCGAAGUUGAAGCAAAUCAUAAUUCAACAUCAUUUUUAAACCGCUUUAUCAAACACACAGUUCAUUUUUUUUAUAACAAUACUCAUUAAUUCUAUCAGAGAAUUCGUUGGCAUCUUUAAUACGAACUUUGUCAGGCAAUUGAGUGAAUGCAUUCAACUCAAAAGAUGGUCUUAAACAAAUUUUGGGUGUGCUAUCAACGACAACCACAAAUUUGUUAAGCCUAGGACUUUUACGCUGCGUCUUCACCAUCGAAUUGGAAUGAGAGACGAUUAAGUGGAGAAGAUGUAAGGUUAGUGAGAUAUGGAUGAAGAAAAUUGAAGGGUUAAUCGAUAUACUGCUUGUUGACACACCCAAUUUUGACCCUCCCCGAUAGAAGUUAAUUUUUGAGCUUCUUAAUUUUCAAAUGAUUUAGAAUAAUUAGCUUUACAAAAUUCAAAUAGUUUCAAGGUUAUUUUAAGUAUCUCCGUAGAUUUUAUAGUAUUUUAAAUAAUAAACAUAUUUCGUAUAAUUAUAUAUGUGCGUAAUUAGUAUAUUUCAUAAAUAUUUGAAAAUCAUAUCAAAAGAUUUCUACAUUAUUAAAAUAAGUAUUUUGAUAAUUUAGUUUUGGCUUGAAUUGUAAUCUUAAAUUUUGAAGUAAUUAGCUUGUAUUCAAAUUGAAUAUUUUAUAACUAAGUUAAUCAUUUUGUUUCGUUACGAUUGAGAAGUUCCUAAAUUAAUUAUAUUAAUUAGAUUUUAGCCGAAUUUACAAAUUAAAUUCGAUUUGGCUAAAUUAUUAAUUCACUUGGCUAUAUCUUAUUUUAAACUCACCAAAAGACUAUUUUUGGGCCCUUCAUUCAAUAAUUUCCAGCAGCCCAUAUUCCUAUUUACAGAAACCCAACUUCCCUUUUUAUUCUUCAACCCAUUCCAAUUUCCAAAUUUCCAGCAACCCAACCCACUUUUCUCCCCCCGACCCGGCCCAAUCUUGCUCAAAAGUAACCCAGGAACAGCUGUACACAGCAAAACACUUCCAACGUUAACACCAUCUUACAACAUCAAUAGCAGCAACGUGCAAUACAACACUGACCCCUGCGUCUUCUUCACGCAAGAAAACCCAUUCACCGACCCAGCGACAGCGAGUCCAGUCUAAUCCAGUUGCAGCGUCGUCUGCUCCCAUCCCUCUCGAACAGUACUACGUAGCAGCAGCACGCGACUGUCCCAUUUCCUCUUCCGGAAUGGGACGAAAUUUCAGAAAAAAAGGGUGUUUAGCUUGACUGGUGAAAGAUUUUUUAUUUUUGAAUUUGGAAUUGGGCCUUGGUUUGCCCGAUUUUUGGUCCGUUUUCCCCAUUUCCAAACCCUAUUCCCUUAUAUAUAUAUUGCCUGUUGUUCACUGUGAAAGGGGAGAUAUUUUUUAGUUGGGAAAAAAUUUACUAAGGAAAAGAGAAUAGCACAGUAGGAAAUAGCUAGAGAAAUAUAUACAAAACACGCUUCGAGUGUCAUUCUCCUUUCUAGUUUACUCUCACUUCACAGCGUCUAUUUGAGUCCGAAUUUCUGCCUGGACUUCUGGUUCAUUACGCAUAUUUGAGUGUGGUGGUGGAAUAGUCGUCUCCAAGAUCAUCACCGUCCCUGUUUCGCUGCACACAAGAAGGUAAUGCCUCCUCCAUUAUAGUAUCUUCCUUGCCUUUUCUUCUGUUUAGAAGUGAUAAUUUUUUAUGUCAGAGAGCCUCAUUAAAUGACUGGUUCGCUGUUAGUGAUUGAUUUAGUGAUUUAUUAAUGCGAUAUUCUGUUCUUUAUAGAUUAUAUUGAUUCGGUUUUGAUGUCAAAUCAGUGUCUUGUACCGUAUUGGCAUCGUUGCUCUUAUAUAUGCUCCUUAGUUUGAACUCGUUUUUUUUUGCUAGUUUACUUCUUGUAUGUUUGCCCUUAUAUCUUCUGGCUAUAUCUUCUUUUUCUUACAGCAUGUUAGUUUCAUUCAUUUUCCUACUGUAAUGUUGUCUUUCUUUUCUUUUAUUUCAAAACAUAAGGCAGAAUCUAAAAUAAAAUAAAAUAGUUGAUAUAGAGGUUGUAUGUCGUAUUAUUUAUCGUUUGUUGGACAUAGUAGUCACUUAGCUUCUAUUCAUUUUUUUGAGUUUAUUUUCAUGCUUGUCUUCUAUGUUUUAAGCUUAGUUAACAAUCAUUUGGUCAAGUCCCGUUUCAGUCUUCUCUAUCUAAAAUAUGGCGUGAUUCUUUGGUUUGUUUAAACCUUGUUUUUUUCUCAUUUUCCUCCCAUGAGGGCAUGAACAUGUUUGAAGCUUAUUUUUCUACCUGUAAUGGGUUUGGUAUUGAUCGUUAAUUAUUUAAGCUCAUCUUGGUUUCUCAAUAGCAUCCAGAUUUAGGUCGUGUUGAAAUAUUUUUUAGAACAUAUCGAAUUUUUAUCUCCUGCUAGUGUGUUAUGGUGCGCAUUUGUUAAAUAAGUGCUAAGUUGAUUUUAACAUCAAGAUUAGCCGUUGUCCAGAUUCAUUGUGUAUUUUGAUAAGAGAUCUUCAUUAUUUUAACCCAAAAGCUCCCUGGAGAAUCCGUGCUUUGAUGCCUGGUCCCGUUGGUCCUAAGUUCAUAUUGUUUUAUAGUUGUUUGCUAUAUGACUACUACUGCCUAUUGACAUUUAGUCCGUAAUUGCACUCUAUGAGUUGGUUACUCAAUAUUAAUUGCUAUUGAGAUUGUGUUACUUGAUUUGACCAUGAAGAUUAAUUCUAGUCUUAUAGGCCUGUAAUGUAUAUGCAUGUAUUUGUUGGAUGGCACCUCGCUGAUACUCUUUUCUUUUUAUCUUUAGUUUUUGAAAGUAUAUGUAAAAUUGGUUAUGUCUUCAUGUUUGUCUCCUAUGAAUUAAUUUCGAGGGCUAAUAAAUUUCUUAACUAUCAUAGAUUUAUUCUUCUUUUGCUAACUAGUUUUAUUUUAUCUUGUUUGUUGUGAGCAACCGUGGAUGAUUCUGUUGGGAUCCAAAUCCCUUUCUUGCAUCAUCGAUCGGGCCACUCAGGCCCAAAGCCAUUCUUGAGUCAACCCUUUUUCGAGUCAAAGACUUCAAAAGUGCAGCUGUUCGAAAACAAGAAAAAUACUGGAAAUUGGAGUCGGGAUACGCAAAUAUACAACAGUAUACACUCAAUGUAUAUGUUGUUUAUAUGACAAAAUUGGGCUCGGAAGCCCAUCUUUUUUUUUCUUGAUUUUAUUUUGUUACCUUUGGGACUAAGCCCACUUAUUACCAUAUUGUUAGAACAUAGGACAGGUGAAAAUUGGGCCUAAGGCCCAAAUAAUAUAUUUCUUUUUAUGUUAGUUUUAGUACAGGUACAAAAUGGGUCAAGGGCCCAAACUUGAAUAUAGACCCAAGUACUGGCUUAGGCGGACAGAAAAUCAGACUUAGGCCUAAACCUUCUCUCCCUCUUUAUCUUAUUUGUUUUCGUAUUUGUCUAACUGUUUAUUGUUAGUUAAUUCUAAGGUUUUUUCGUAAUUCAAUUCCCCAAAAGACGAAACAACCAUAUCUUUAAAAUCAAAUAAGUAUUUUAUUUGACUUUAAAUAUCUAGUACUUAACUAAUAUUUUUAUUUCAUCACCCUUUCCCUUUUAAAAACAAGUUCAGGUCUUAAGUUGUUAUUUCUUCAAACAAAAAUGUUUUAUUUUAAAUCUUUUAGCCAAAUAAUUAAUUGUCGGAUAACCGCGUAUUAGCGGACAUUUAGGUGCUUUCAAACCCUUCCCGAAAUGCUAAUAUGAACCCCGAACCCCCCUUAAAUAUUUUCAAUCGAUUCCUGUUUUAAUCUAUUGAAAAAUCAGUUUUCUUAAUUUUACCUUAAAAAUUAAGUGGCGACUCUUAAAACUAGUCUAAAUUAUAUUUUCCAAAUAAAACACUGCUGAAAAAUGUAGUUCUAAUAUUUCUUAGAACUAUAACUCAGUUAUUGAUAAAUGUACCAACUUUAUUAGUACCAUAAAAAUCUUUAUAUAAAAGGAAUACAUUAAUAUUAUCCCAAUAAAAGACUAGAAAACGUAAAAGAGGAAAUAUUAAAAAAAUAUUGAAACGUGUGAAAAAAGGAUUUCUAAUAUUUAUUGGAACUAUAACUCAAUUAUUGAUAAAUGUACCAACUUUAUUAGUACCAUACAAAUCUUUAUAUAAAAGGGAAUACAUUAAUAUGAUAACAAUAAAUGACUACAAAAACGUAAAAAAGGAAAAAAUAAUACUUCCUCUGUCCCAUUUUAUGUGACACUUUUUGGAUUUUGAGAUUCAACCAAAUCUAUCUUUGAUCGUAAGUUUUUUAUAGAUCUUUUAAACAUCUUGAUUUAUCAAUUAUUGUGACUUAUAGUACUUUUUAUAUAGUUUACAAAUAUAUAAAUUUCAUUGCAAAAUAUUUAAAGAUUUCAUGUGCAAAUUCGUUGUCAAACUUAAAUUGUUUGACUCUCGAAAAAUGAAAAGUGUCAUACAGAGGGAGUAAUAAACAAACGUGUGAAUGUGAGUGUUUAAGGAGAGAGAAUAUUUGAUAAAUUUAAUACUACCUAAUAGCACUCCACAAAAUAUGGCACGAAUUACUAAGCGUCAGAGAGAGAAAGAAAAAUCGGAUAAAAAAAUUAAAUUAAAUACAAAAAUUAAAUGUUUUGGAAUCAUAUCUGACAUGAUUUGGACAUGAUUUGGAAUCAUAUGUAACAUGAUUUGGACAUGCUUUGGAAUCAUAUUUAAUAUGGUCAGCACUAGCACUACAUUUUAUACAUGUUAUUUUUGCAUAGAAACUAUUAAUUUUAUUUGUAUCAUUUUGAUUUCAUUGGAUGUUUUGAAGGUAUAUAAUUUAUAUCUACGGCACUAAAAAUACUAAAUUUUGUAUAUUUAAAGAAUAAUAUAAUAAAAUAAAGUAUUUAUUGGCCAUACCAUGUAAAUGGUGAACAAAUAAAAAUAGACCAGUGUAGUAGGUUGAUGCACCUCAAAGGAAGCAAAGACAAUAUUCAUAAAGACAGUUAGUUGGAACAGCAAGGUCAUUUUGGUAAUUACAGCUCCCCACCUCAUUGCAUAAAAUGAUGUUGCCUUAGCAUGUUUUAUACACAAAACAACACAACUAAUAAAUUCUUGAGAAAGUUCUUUAAUUUCAACUCAAAAUCUUUAAGUUUUAUUUUAUCAAAUGGCUGAUAAAAGCAAAGUUUUGAUCAUUGGAGGAACAGGGUAUAUUGGAAAAUUUGUAGUGGAAGCAAGUGCAAAAUCUGGACACCCAACUUGUGCUUUAGUUAGAGAGACCACAAUUUCUGAUCCUGUUAAGGGCAAAAUUGUUGAAAAUUUCAAGAAUUUGGGUGUCACUAUUAUUAAUGUAUGUAUAUUUAUAUGAUGCAUUUGUUAAUAAAUUGUAUAUGCAAGUAUAUUUUAGUUUCUUGUUUUUUGAACAGGGUGAUUUGUAUGAUCAUGAGAGUUUGUUGAAGGCUAUAAAACAAGUGGAUGUGGUGAUAUCAACUGUUGGUGAUGCGCAAUUGGCUGAUCAAUUUAAAAUCGUUGAUGCUAUCAAAGAAGCUGGCAAUAUUAAGGUUAGUUACUUCUGGUUUUCACAACUGGCUUUGACUCGAGACCUCUGGUUAAGGGUGUAAACUUGGGGCAGAGGGGAUGAUGGUGAUCUUGAAUAUAGUAAUUGUUGAUAAAGUUCUUGAAUUUAUAGAUCACAUUUGAAUUAGAGAAUUUGGAGUAUCAAAGGGACCUUAAAUCUAUGUUGCUCAGAUAAGUCAAUAAUGUUGGUGGUUGCGUGUUGAAUCGUCCAAAAGUAGUGUAUUUUUGAAGGAUCCAACAUGGGUUCAGCAACAUAUUUGGAGAGUCCGAGCAACAUACCCUCUAACUAAGGGAGAAUUCGUCUCGUUGAUUUAAGGUAAUAAAAUGAGUUAGAUUACUACUUGUUAACAUGGCCUAGUGGAAAGAUCUUGAUCUGCAUAACCAAGUGUAUGACAGAAAUAUGCAGCAAGUUCGCGUAAAUGCCUCAAAUUUGGAAGAAUAAUUCACUAGAGAAUCUGAAAAUCGUUUGAAUUAAUUAUCUUGUUCUUAAAAAUGACUUCCUUUCAAAAAUUAAGAAAAACAUUUUCCAAAACUUUCCUCCAAUUUCAAAUUACUAAUUUUUUGUUGAAAAAUAAAUUUAAAGCUUAUUUUUAAAAAAAUAUUUUCAACUUCAAAUUUUUAAUUUUUCAACCCUUGCCAGUUCCCAACCCCCACCCCCCUCACCAAAAAAAAUUAUAAUUUGUUUUAAAAAAUAUUUUCAAUUUCAAAUUUUUAUUUUUUCACCCCACCCCGUCCCUACCCAUGACCCCCCAUCAGCCUCCACCUCCCUCCAAAAAAAUUAAGUUUGUUUUUAAAAAAUAUUUUCAAUUUCAAAUUUUUAUUUUUCACCCCACCCCGUCCCUACCCAUGACCCCCAUCAGCCUCCACCUCCCUCCAAAAAAAUUAAGUUUGUUUUUAAAAAAUAUUUUCAACUUCAAAUUAAUUUUUUCACCCCUACCCUCGACCCCCUCCCCCCACCCCACCCAAAAAAAAUUUAAGUUUGUUUUUUAAAAAUAUUUUCAACUUCAAAAUUUAAUUUUUUCACCCCUACCCUCGAGCCCCCCUCCCCCAACCCACCCAAACAUUAGAAAAUAAUUUAAAAAUCUACUUGUUUUCCAGGAAAACAUUUUCCUUCAUACCAAACACACCCAAUGUGUUCACAGAGCUAAAUUAUCUUGUGCUAAAAAAAAUUCAGAGGUUCUUCCCUUCGGAGUUUGCUAUGGAUGUCGAUAGAAUUAUCAAUGCUGUGGAGCCAGUAAAGUCUACAUUUGCUGCGCAAGCCAAAACCCGAAGAGCUAUUGAGGCUGCAGAAAUUCCCUAUACUUACGUCUCAUGUAACUAUUUUGCUGGUUGUUUCUUACCAAAUUUGGUCCAGACAGGAGCCACUGCUCCUCCUCGAGACAAAGUCAUCAUUCCUGGAGAUGGGAAUGUUAAGGGUAAGUCGAAAAAAAUUACUCCAUUGAUUUGAAUUUGGUACGCUUGCCAACAGAACAAGUUCAUGAUAAAAUGUCUCAUAUUUGUGUGCUUUGUUCUGUUUGUCUGCAGCUGUAUUCAAUGAAGAACAUGACAUUGGCACCUACACCAUUAAGGCUGUUGAUGACCCGAGAACGUUGAACAAGUCCCUUUACAUCAGGCCUCCCAAGAACACCUUAUCGUUCAACGAGCUUGUGGCUAUAUGGGAGAAACUGAUUGGUAAAACUCUCGAGAAAAUCUACGUUCCAGGGGAGCAAAUUCUCAAAGACAUCCAGCGUCAGUAAUCUUUAUAUCAUUCAUAUUUACUACUAUUUCUUUCAAUUUAACAUAGGUAAUCCUGACAAUGUAUAUUGCAUACUGUUGCAGCAUCUGUAACGCUAAUCAAUUACAUGCUAUCAGUCAACCACUCAACAUUCGUGAACGGUGAUCAUACCAAUUUUGAGAUUGAGCCAUCGUUUGGGGUUGAGGCAUCUGAAGUUUAUCCAGAUGUUAAGUACACCACCGUGGAGGAGUACCUUAGUCACGUUGUCUAAACUACACGUUUGAUGUCUUCGAUAACUCGAAUAAACUGUUAGAUGAUGAGUGUUGUCAGACAUUUUGUCUGGAAGUAUGAGUACUUGUUAACUAUGUCAUCAGAGACGGGUUGAAUGGUAUGUUUUAAGUCUGUUUUUUGCUAAUGAUUAUUUUUGAUGUAGUGAUCUCAAAUAUGGUCAUUUGACUACUGUCCAUUUAGAAGAUGCGUUUGAUUAGAAUACGGAAAAAAUUUAUGAACAAAAUUUGGAAAGGUAAGUAACACAAUUAUGUUCUACAAAAAAAAUUAUGUUCACUUUAUAGCCUAUGCUUUUCAUUGGAUCUUGUAAAAUUAGUUACUUAAUAUUGUUCUAUGAUUAAAAUUGAUUUAUAAAUUUCUAUGAGCUCACUCCUAUCUGCAAAAAUCAAAGAAACUCUUCCAACAUAACUUUCAAUAGGUUAGCUCGUUGUUGACACUUUCUAUUACAAAACACAUUUCUUUCCUUUGAUAGUACUUUAAUCACAAGGUUUACAACACUUUUGUAAAUGUCAAAAGUCCUUAUACUACACCUUUGUUGACAGAUAGCUCUAGGUCUAAAAUUGGAUAGACAGCUCCCAUUCUAACAAGACAUGAAGCAAUGUGGACACCAAGGAAAUCAAAGAGCAAUACAAAAGUUUGAACACAUGUAAAAUCAAAGUUGCAUCACUCCUUACAAUUACUAGAUGAAAAAAAUACUUAGGCUACAAAUGAUAUGUAUAUGCUAGAUGUAUUUAAUUUUACGGUGGUUUGAUUUUAUUAUAAUGGAGUCCGGAAAACUCCGGAUUUGAUAAAAUUAUGAAUAGAAAUCAUAGAUUUCUCAGUAGUGCAAUAACUAAAGCAAUCUACUGAAAGGGUCGUGAUAUUAUAGAGUUAAUAUCUCAAAAGGUCACCCAACUUUGAGAAUUUAUCUAGCAAAGUCAUUGAACUUUGUUUUGUAUCAAUAAAAUCAUUAAACUUAGACAUUUCUAUCAAUAAAAUCACUCAAUUAAAAUUAUUAUUAAAUAAAAUAUUGGCAUAGCAAAAUAAAUUACUUGUAUAUUUUUAUAUCAGGUAAACACGAACCCACAAAUAAAUAAAAUUAAAGAAAACUUAUUAAAAAAAUUCGAAUAGACUUAAUCACGAAAACAAAUAUUUUAUGAUACUGUUGUAUAGUUUAUGUCUUGAUUUAAUAAAUAAAUGAAAAAAUAUUCUUAGUGAAACAUACUUUGGUAUUACUAUAAUACCAUAAUAUUUAGUUUGCCUCCUUAAUAAAAAAAAUGAGUACAAGUACUUCAGCAAAACAACAAAUUAAAUCCAAAAUAGGAGAAAAACAAUAAACAAAUGUCAAAAUAGAACAUGUAAGUGUUAUUACUAAUUAAGUUCUUCAGCGUGUAAUUUAUUUAGAUGUUUCUUGCUAUAUAUAAUAGGUAAAGAUCUUACUUUUCCUUUGUAAUUCCACUGUUUGCUAAAGUUAGAUUUGUUUAAGCUUGAAUAAAUUAAUUUUCAAAAUUGUUGAUAAAUAAGUUUUGAAAUUUAAAAUUGUGUUUGGACAUACAUUUUAGUUUUUUUUUUUUUUUUUUAAGUUUUGUGAGAGGAAGUGAAGAGUUCUUAAUGACAUUUCUUUAAUUUUAGUUAUUGUGGGAUUCAUAUUUAUAUGAUAUACAAAUAAUAAUUAUUUUGCUAUGCCAAUACUUUUUUUAGUGAUAAAUUUGAUUGAGUGAUUUUAUUGAUAGAAAUGUCUAAGUUUAGUGAUUUUAAUGAUACAAAACAAAGUUUAAUGACUUUACUAGAUAAAUUCUGAAAGUUGAGUGACCUUUUGAGAUAUUAACUCGAAACUAUAUUUACAGAUUCUGUCAAUCUUUUAAAAAUUAUUUCUCAUGUAUUGCGAUUAUUAUGAGAUAAGACGUGUUGUGAGAGUUGUUUAACAAUGUGAAUUUUUGUAUGCUUUACAUGAUUUAUCUAUUUGAGUAGCCUUUAUGUAUUAACUUUUUUUUCUUGUCAAUUACUACUACCACCUUCCUUUAUCACAAAAGGUUAUACAUUAAAUAAAAUUUAAGAUAUCACAAUACAUAAAUUGUUGUACCAAAAGCUCUGUGGAUGGUACCUUAUACAUAGGCCUUCAUCUUUUCCCUGUUGACACGUGUAUGGCUAUUUAAUUUGUAAGCAAACCACGUGCACUCCUGAACACAGCCACAAAAAUUGUAGUAUGUGCUGGGGUAUUUUAGUCAUUGAAUAAAAGUUAUAAUAUUCCAGCCAAGUAGUAUGUGGCCCUGUUUUCUCUACUCUUUAAUUUAUUUACUCAUAUGCAAAUGGUAGAAAUCAAAAUCAACCAAAACUCUUCAUCGGGUAUUUAUCUUUUUUUUCCUCCUUUUUGGCUUGGGCUUUGAUUUUUCUAUUUUUUUUGUCUCACUUUUGGAGGUUUCAAUUUUGGUUCGAAUUUUUCUCGGGUGAUAUUACAUUUCUGAUCACUAACAUUGCUUUGGCGAUUUUGCCUUUUCUCUCCCAAAACAAUUCCAUGGCUGAAAUUGUUGAGAAGUUAGUUCCAGAUACAACUGUCAGCUAAUAAGCAAAUGUUUUAGUUAAAUUAAAUGCACGUGAUUCUGUUAGAUGUGUCAGUGAGUUGGUUAGUGAAAGUCUUCAUUUUCUAUAUAUGUACAGAAGUUCAUUCAUAGAAGAAGUAAUCAUUUUCUCUGUAUCUGUAAGUCAUUGAUUGUAUAAGAUGGAAGUUUAUCUAUCAGUUUAUUGAGUUUUUUACAUGGUAUCAGAGCAAGGAGGACGAAUCUAGGGAUUCAUCUCAGCUGGAAUUGACGAUAGAUCGAGAGAUUUCGCAGCUCAAACAUGGCAAUUGAGGAAGUAUUGACGGGAGGAUCUGUUGACAGAGUUCAAGGAGAGUCUGUCAAUGGUGGAUUGAUGGCACUUGAUCACAAUCAUCCACUCUAUCUGAGCUCUUCUGAUGUGCCAGGAGCUCUCUCUGUUGGUAUUCAACUAACAUGCAUGGAGAAUUAAACGUUAUAGAGUCGAGCUAUGGAGAUGGCCCUACUCGGACGAAACAAAUUGGGUUUUAUUGAUGGCUCUGUUCUACGCUGUGAUUUUGAUGGUGCUUUGAAGAAAAUUUGGGAUCGAUGCAAUGCAAUAGUGAUCUCUUGGCUCACCUGCAAUGUGAGUAAGGAAUUAUUGAGUGGAAUUCUCUAUUCAUCCAGUGCACAUCAGGUAUGGCUUGAUCUGAAGGAACGUUUUGAUAAAAUAAAUGGAUCUAGGAUUUAUCAAUUACAUAGGAGUAUUUUCACCCUUACACAGGGCACAUCAUCUGUUUCUUCUUAUUAUACAAAAUUGAGAAACCUAUGAGAUGAGUAUGACUCUAUUUUGCCUCCUCCUAGUUGUGAUUGUCACAAGGCUAAGGACUAUGUUGAACAGAUGCAGUAUCAGCGAUUGUUACAGUUUUUGAUGGGUUUGAGUGAUAGUUAUUCACAGGCAAGAGGUCAGAUUUUAAUAAUGCCUAGUCUUCCUAAUGUGAAUCAAGCAUAUGCUUUAGUUAUACAAGAUGAAAGUCAGAAGGGAAUCACUGGAUCUAUACAUGAAGGGAUGGAAUCCUUAGCAAUGUAUACUACAAGGAAUCACAGGCCACCUCAGUUUUACUUUCAACCUCAGUUUGAUUCUAGACAAACUCCUAGGAAGAACCAUCUGUAUUGCGAUUUUUGUGACAUGAAAGGACACACUAGGAAAAAUUGCAACAAGCUGAAGAAGUGUGAUCAUUGUCAUACGACUGGGCAUGUGAAGGAUAAUUGUUACUUACUCAUCGGAUAUCCAGAAAAUUUCAAAGGGAAGAAAAAGGCAAAUGCAGUUAUAGGGGAUGGUAAUAUGUACUCACAGAUGCAGGACUUGCAGGAUCACAAGGAGAAGAAGGCUCACAUAGCUAUAGGAGAACAUCAGAUGGGAGAUCAAGUUACACAGGAACAGUUAUUUCAGUUGUUGAACAACACUUCACCAGAACAAUUGAACCAAAUUUUCAAUAUGCUGAAAAGGGACAACAACAACAUGGAUCCUCAAAAGAGUGUCAAUAUGGCAGGUAAUCGUUGUUCUCAAUUAAAGUGGAUUAUAGAUACUGGGGCUACAAAUCACAUGAUACAUAAUCACAUUUACUUGCAAGAUGAAAACAUGAUGAAUAGGCUAAGUAAAGUGCAGCUGCCUACAGGAGACUUUGCUACUGUUUCACAUGUUGGAAAUUUUCAACUGAAUGAUAAUGAUAUAAUCACAGAUGUAUUGUGCAUACCAGAAUUUAGGUUUAAUCUUUUAUAUGUAAACAAACUGACAAAAGAGUUAAACUGUUCUGUUUCUUUUUUCCCUACAUACUGUGUGUUUCAGGAUCUCUUAUCUGGGAAGGUAAAGGGGAUUGGUAGAGUAGAGGAAGGAUUAUAUGUGAUGGACUCGAAAACAAGACCACACAAGGACAGGAUUAAGAUAAUGUCUGCAGUCAAGAGAGGAGAUGCAGGUGCAGAACUUUGGCACAAGAGACUAGGGCAUGUUCCCAUGGAAGUUCUUAGAAGAAUAAAAGACUUUAGUACUUGUAAUAGUUUUACCAUUGAUAAGUGUGUCAUUUGUCCACAAGCAAGACAGACUAGAAGUCAGUUCCCUGUUAGUCAUACUAUAGUUGCUGAUAUAUUUGAUUUAGUACAUAUGGAUGUUUGGGGUCCAUAUAAGGUCACCACUCAUAGUGGAAAAAGGUUCUUUCUCACUUUAGUGGAUGACAAAUCUAGAUGGACAUGGACUUUCUUAAUUGCUUUGAAGUCUGAUGUAAUUGUUGUGCUGAAACAUUUUCUGGCAAUGCUAAAGAAUCAGUUUGGGAAUUGUGUUAAGGUUUUCAGGUCUGAUAAUGGAGGAGAAUUUCUAAACUCUAACUGUCAUGAUCUCUUUAUGUUGCAUGGGAUUAUUCAUCAAAGAUCUUGUCCACACACUCCACAACAAAAUGGAGUUGUGGAAAGGAAACACAGACACUUAUUAGAGACAGCAAGAGCUGUAAAGUUUCAAGGGCAUCUACCGAAUAGGUUUUGGGGAGAAUGUAUAGAAGCUGCAACCUAUAUCAUUAAUAGAAUUCCUUUAUCUAGUAUUGGGGAAUAGGUCUCUUUAUGAGGUAUUGUACAAAAGGUCAACCUUCUCUGGCUCACAUCAGAGUGAUAGGUUGUCUUGCAUUUCCCACAGACCUGAGAAGAGAUGACAAGUUUGCACCAAAGGCUAAGAAAGCAGUAUUUCUUGGCUAUGCUGUCAGUCAAAAAUGAUAUAAACUAUUAGAUGUUGAAUCUAAGGUUGUUUUUGUUAGCAGAGAUGUAAUUUUUCAUGAGACUGAGUUUCCAUUUCAGUCUCUAGGAUUUAGAGAAGAUGCAGAUCAUGAACCCUCAAUAUCAUAUUCACAUGUAGAAGACAGUGAGCUCACACCAUGUGUUGUUAUCAGAAGUGCAACACCUAUUAUUGCAACUGAGGACACAACAAUAUCUGCAUCAUCUAGUGGUCAUUCUCACAGGGAUCCUAAUGAUACUCAACUAUCAGACAAUGCUGCUUCUGUUACUUCUCAGGACCCUGAAUUAUCAGUGCAGACUCCUACUGUUGUUACCAGAAGGUCAAGUAGAUCAGCUAAACCUCCAAUUUGGCAUACAGAUUAUGUUUUGACAAAGAAGAAUACAACUGCUGGCAGUUGUUCCUAUUUUAUUUCAGAUGUAGUGGACUACCAGAGCAUCUCACCUACAUAUAAAAGCUUUGUCACUAAGUUUUCUCAAAAGAGGGAACCUACUACAUAUCAAGAAGCCAUUCUAGAUCCUAGAUGGGUAGAGGCUAUGGAGAGUGAGAUACAGGCAUUGGAAGAAAAUCAAACAUGGAAGAUCACUCAACUGCCUAAGGAUAAGAGGGCAAUAGGAUGCAAAUGGGUGUACAAGAUAAAGUAUAAAGCUGAUGAGGAGGUUGAUAGGUUCAAGGCUAGGUUGGUAGCCAAGGGCUAUAACUAAAAGGAAGGGCUGGACUAUCAAGAAACUUUCUCUCCAGUUGUAAAAAUGGGGACUAUUAGAGCAGUCAUAGCAUUAGUUGUUGCACAUCACUGGACUGUCCACCAGAUGGAUGUUUUUAAUGCAUUCCUUCAAGGAGAUUUAAAUGAAGACGUGUACAUGGAAAUACCUUUGGGUUUUGUCCAUAAAGGUGACAAGGGGGUAGUGUGUAAGCUUAUCAAGUCACUUUAUGGCCUCAAGCAAGCAAGCAGGCAAUGGAACAUUAAACUGACAACAACCCUGGUUGAUUCUGGUUUUCAACAGAGCAGUUAUGAUCACUCUUUGUUCACAAAGAGUCAGAAAGGAAGUUUGGUGAUGGUUUUGAUCUAUGUUGAUGAUUUGUUAAUCACAGGGAAUGACCACAACUUGAUCUUGAACACAAAGAAAAUCCUCAAGGAUAAUUUUAAGAUCAAAGAUUUAGGGGAUUUAAGAUAUUUUUUAGGAAUCGAAUUUGCCAGGAACGACACAGGGAUCCUUAUGCAUCAGAGGAAGUACUGUCUUGAGUUGAUUUCAGACAUGGGAUUAUCUAGUUACAAGCCUGUUGGAGCUCCCUUUGAGAUAAAUCAGAAACUUACUACAAAGGAGUUUGAUCUUCACUUUCCUACUGCUGAUGGAAGUGACAAGUUGUUGGAUGAUCCGAAUGUGUAUCAAAGGGUGGUAGGGAGGCUACUCUAUUUGACAAUAACAAGACCGGAUAUUGCAUUUGCAGUGCAGCUUCUAAGCCAAUUCAUGCAUAGUCCUAAAACAUCCCAUAUGGAGGCAGCAAUAAGGGUGGUCAAAUAUGUCAAACAGUCCCCAGGAUUGGGAAUAUUCAUGACAGCCAAUGCCAGCAAUCAGUUAACUGCAUAUUGUGAUGCAGACUGGGCAGCAUGUCCAAAUAAUAGGAAGUCCAUAACAGGUUAUAUGGUUACAUAUGGAAGUUCCUUGAUUUCAUGGAAGUCUAAAAAACAGGACACUAUUUCACGAAGCUCAGCUGAAUCUGAGUACAGAAGUUUAGCAUCAACAGUUGCAGAAAUUGUGUGGUUGGUUGGCCUCUUUAAGGAGUUAGGGGAACAACUGAAGUUACCUGUUCCUGUAUACAGUGACAGCAAAUCUGCAAUACAAAUUGCUGCUAACCUAGUUUUUCAUGAACGAACCAAACAUAUAGACAUCGAUUGCCACUUUUUUAGAGAAAAGGUUCACUUAGGAAUGGUUCAGCCUUUGUAUUUGAAGACAACAGAAUAGCCUGCAGAUUUAUUCACUAAAGGACUCACUCAAGCACAACACUCAUAUCUACUAACCAAGCUAGGAAUGAAGAACAUCUUCCACACUCCUAACUUGAGGGAGGAUGUUGAGAAGUUAGUUCCAGAUACAGCUGUCAGCUAAUAAGCAAAUGUUUUAGUUAAAUUAAAUGCACGUGAUUCUGUUAGAUGUGUCAGUGAGUUGGUUAGUGAAAGUCUUCAUUUUCUAUAUAUGUACAGAAGUUCAUUCAUAGAAGAAGUAAUCCUUUUCUCUGUAUCUGUAAGUCAUUGAUUGUAUAAGAUGGAAGUUUAGUUUUUUAACAGAAAUUUUAUGUUUUCGCGUCACUACUAUAAGAUAUGAAAUUCUGUAAUGACUAUUCUACAAUUAGUUGUGUCUUCGGUUCUUAAUUGACCGAGUCUACUCAUGCAUGUUUUGUUUUGAAAUUUCUUGAUUCCUAAAAGGUGACAACAAUGAAAUUGUUGCUUAGACUUUUGUUGCUAGACUAUUUACAUGAUUGAAUGAUUCAAUAUAUAUAUAUAGCGCAAAAAUUAUGGAGGACAAAAAGAGGGAGGGGAAAUGACACUUCAUGACAGUCUAAUGAUGUUGAAAUUUUCUCAGUUUCUUAUUUGUUUGUUUAUAUAUAAGGUCCUUUGGUUUACAUUUCAUUUUUUUUUAUAACCGAUUGUUGAAUAUUUAUUUAUUCUGCCAAUUGCUCCAACAGACCUCAAGCAGCAUGUUGAUCUUCCAUCAGUUAAUGCUUCCCAAUCUCGAAAAUAGCAUCUCUAUUUCGGAGGAGAAGUAGUGGUAAGACCUGCAUGUGUACACUCUAUAUAUUACUCUUAUUUAGAAGUGGCACGUCUAAAGACGAACACAACAACAAAUACUUGUACAAAAAGUAAUAUUUAUUGUACCAUAAUUUGAUGUCAAGUCAUUGUCUUAUUGGUAAAUAGUAUCAGUUUUCCUGUAAUGUUAACACGUAUUAAGCCUUUGUUGUUUUCAUUUCUAGGCUGACACAUAUUUAUCUCUUUGUGCUUUAACACAUGCACUACUCUGAUUAUUCACACAUGCACUAAUUUUAUUUACUUUCAAACAUCUGUAUUUUAGUUUGUGAACUCAAUUAAAAAUAAGUUUUUGAGCUUAAAAAAAUUUUCCCCAAAAUUGAAGCUUGAUGUUGGAUUAAAUAUAACAGAGUUACGGAAUCUUUUGGAAUUUGAAGUUUGCCGUUUUGGAUAUAUCAAAAGAAAACUUUAUUGAACUGAAUUGUGAUGGUUUGUAAAUGAUUUUGUAUUUAGAAAUGACAGUUUGAAGGACUAACACAUCAUCAAAUAGAUGUACCAAAGGUAAUACAAGUUGUAUUGUAUUGGGGCCCACCUCAUUAAACAAGUACUACUCCCCACUCAUAUUACAAAGACACAUGUACUAAAUAGGGAGUUGGGAAGGACCAACAAGGACAAAUCUGUAAUUUUCUUAAGCUUACCCCACUCAUAUCACAAAGACACAUGUACUAUGUAUAACCAAUAGAUGCUUUUUAUAUUAUCUAUGGAUUGAUCCAUUUUCCCCUUACAGUCUUAUAAUUCCAAAACUGUUAAAUUUCUCUUAAUUUUUGAGUAAAUAUCUCAAAAGGUCAUCCAAUUUUGAGAAAUUAUAUUGUAAAAUUAUUCAACUUUAUUUUAUACUUCUUAUUUUAUAUUUACUCCUUAUUAGAAGUGAGACUUUAGAGGACAAACACGGCAACUACAAAGUUGUACACAAAGCAUUUCAAAUUGUACUAUAAAAUUCAUUGUCGCUCAUUAAUUGUACACAUGUCUUUCUACAUAUACAACAACCCACAUGAAUAAAUUACUUUUCUAACUUUUUUUCCUCAGUUUCUCUCUCUAUAUAUUCGUUUUUUUUCUUUUUUUUCUACUUUCCAUUCUCCCCUUUUACUCUCUUUAGUUUAUCUUUGAUCUUAAAUUUUUCAUAGAUUCUUUAAAAAUAUUUUUGAAAUUAUUAAUUAUUAUGAAUUAUAAUAUUUUGAUUUUUUACGUAAGUUUACAAACAUAUAAAUUUCAUUUUUAAAAAAUUGAAGAUACCAUACGCAAAUUUACGAUCAAACUUAAAUUAUUUGAUUCUCGAGAAAUAAAAAGUGUCACAUAAAAUGGGACAGACGAAGGAUAACUCUCAAUUAAAUUUAUUUCACUUUUUAUUUUCCACUUUUAAAAUAAUUUUUCAAGUUGGAUUUCUAGGAAUUCUACUGUAAACCCAUUUAAAUUCUACCUUUUUGUUUUAAACUAGAGAAUUUGGUCGCACUUCGCGCGAUCAUUAAAAAUUAAAUAUUUUUGAUUAAUUUUAUAUUUACUCUAUUGUUUAAUCGUAAUAUUAUUGUUUGUUUUACUACUAUGAAAAUUGUGAAAAAAAUAAAGCUUUUCAAAUUUUACAUCUAUUAAAUGAGGAAGAAUAUAUUUUUUUAUCAAAUAAGUUAAAAUGUAUUUGCUAAUAACAAAUUCUUCCAUUGCAUGAAGUUCAUCCUUUAAUAUAUAUAUAUAUUUCGGUGUACCAUUCUCCUUAAAUGUCUAAGAAAUAUCUCGUAAUGUGAAAUAACACUUUAAUACUCCCUCUGUCCCUAAUUACUUGUUCACUUUUCCUUUUAUAGUUGUCCCUAAUUCUUGUCCAUUUUGACAAAUCAAGAAAGAACAAUAUUUUUUACCUAUUAUACCCUCAAUUAAAUGACUAAUUACUUUGAAAAUUGCAGAACUUUUCAUCUACUUCAUAAUUAAUAGGGGAUACAAUGAUAAACUCACUAUGUGAUUAAUUGAUUUCUUAAUAAAUGUGUCAAUUUAAAAAGUGGACAAGUAAUUAGGGACAGAGGGAGUACUAAAACAAAUGCAUCAGCAAAAUGUAAAAUUUAUAAUUAAAAAAUAUAUUGAAUAAUGACGUAUUGAUACCUUAUUAGAAUUUCCUAUCUAUUUUUUUAAAAAAAAAACUUCACCCUUUCAAUUUUGUUAUAUCUUCUUAUUUAGUAGAAGAAUCAUCAUUUAUUAUAUUCUACUCCACCUUAAUUUGUUCCAUCAGAGUUUUAAGAAUAAACAUUAAAUUUUAAAUCAAAAUAAAAAAAUCAUUGAAAAAUGACAGAAAAAAUAAUAAUAGUAUAUGAAAAUUAAAAUAAGGUGCAAAGAAAAGCCUUUUCACGAUAAUUUUUUGAAAUAUAUUGAUAACAAUUAAAAUGGAGUUGUUAUUUUAUCUUUAAAAUUAAGUUUGAUUGAAUUGAAUUAGUAGAAUGAGAAAACAUAAUAAACUAAUAACUUUUUAAUGUUAUUAAAUGCAUUUUCUUUUUAAUUGAGUAGUAGAUUAAAAGUUCAGAAUUAGGAUAUUAAAAUAAUAUCUUACUCUCUCCUUAAUUAUUAUGGUAUUGCAAACAUUUAUUUUCCUUAAAUCGUGAUUCAUUUACAGUUAUAUCCAAUUAAUUUCUAAUGUAUUGAAUGCGGUUAUGGGAUAUUGAAAUAAUAUCUUCAUUUUUCCUUAAUCAUAAUAAAAUUAUAAUUUAACAUUUAUUUUUCUGAAAUGAUAAUUUUGUUUAAUUCCUAGAACAUAUUGUUUACUAUAUUGAAUGUAAUUAUAAUAAAACAUAUUGUAUUUAGUAUGACAAAAGAACUCAAAAAUUGGAGAAAUUAGAUAAAUAGUAAUCUUAACUUCUAAGAAAUGUCACAUCAUCAUUUACAUAUCCAACUUUAUAUAUAUAAAAGAGUUAAAAAAGAAAAAUUAAGUGAUUAAACAAAAUUAUAUAAAUUACAUUAAUGAUUAGAUGAAGAUUAAGAAAAAACCUCAAAAAAAUGAGUAGUAUUGAUGAUGAUAAAAGUUAAAUAAAUCAUUUUUUCUAUUAUUAAAAUUUUUAACAUAAAAUUUCCAAACUUUUAAAAUUAAAAAUAAAUGUUAAAAAAAUAAAUCGAGGCAAUAAUUAUUUUAAAGAAAAAUAUAACCAAAAUUGUCAAAAAAAAUUAAUAAAAAUAAAUAACUAUCUAUUAGUAAGAAUGGUGUCGCUACAUUUUCUAUUUUAACUUUAUUGUUACAUAUGGAUAGAAACUUUUAGAAGAAGAAAUGAUCCAAAAAUUUAAAAAUAAUGAUUCCUUAAAUGGUGAUUCCUUUUCCAUUAUAUAUCCAAAUUAAGUUAAAAUUUACAAUGUCAAUAACUAAAAUAUAAAUUUUUUUUUCUUUUUUUAAAAAAAGAGAACAUUAUAUAUAUUGAUCCAUAUCAUUUAAUGCCAUAAAAUUUCCGUAAAAUAUAAAAAUGACAAAUCAAUUAUGUAAAAAUACAUGUGUAAUUCUUAUAAAGUUAUAAUAACUAAUUUCUUCAAAUAAAUAAUUAAAUGAAAGAAAAAAAAAAGUAAUUAAGAAAAUAAUAUAAAUAACACUAAUUAUGAGAUUAAUAGCAUUGAUGAGGAAAGGAACUAAAUAUGAUCAUCUUUUUAAAUUCUUUUUUAAGAAAAUAUAUAUAAACUUUAAUUAAAGAUAAAUAAGAAAAAAAACUUUAAUUAAAGAUACAAAAAAUCAAGACAAAAUAAAAGAAGAAAGAAAUUAGAAGAAUAAUGAGGUUGAAAGAAAUAUUAUCUAAUUUUCUCUCUUUUCAAAUCACAAAAUAAAUUUUUGCUUGUUCUCCUCCUAAUUUGAUACGAAUUCCAUAAAUAGAAUGAUUUUUUCUCCAAAUAAUUUUUCUUACCCUUUGAAACACUAAUCAGGCUUCUUAUAAAUUUCUCAACCACAAUGAAUUUUCUCUCCUUGUAGGAGGAAUAAACAUUUUUUCAAAAAGUCUUUUAUUUUGAAGAGAAACUUUUGUUACAUGAUUUCUUUCUUUACAUCAAUGUCUUCAUAAGAAUCAUGAGAUAUUCUCUCUUUCUCUUUUAUUAAAAAAGUCACAUGACCUAGAAAUUUGAUGGGCAUCUAAGCGACAGAAGUUGAUACCAUACAUUUAUCAUCAUCGUCAAAAGAAGAAGAGCCAAAGUGAAGAAAUUUGUUGUUAUUUGUUACAAAUGCUUAACUAUUUUUAUUUUUUUUAUAGGCUAAAUAAUUAUAAACAGUUAUGAAAAAUGAAUAGAUUUUAUUUUUUCAUCUUCCAUUUCCAUUUACUUAAAUCUAUAUUAGUAUAAUGGAUGUUAUAAAGGGCAUAAUUAAUUGGGUAUGACAUAAAUACUUUCAGUUUUUAUUUUUACAAUACAAAUAAAAAAUACAAAACAAAGAUAAAAUGUCAAAAAAAGGAGAAAAAAGAUGAAUAGUAAUGUUGGCCAUAGAGAAGUGCCACAUCAGAUUGUCUAUAUUCAACUUUAUAUAUAUAUAGGUUCAUGCCUUUAGAUGUUAUUUUAUUACUUUAGCUGGCAUCGACAUUUUUGUAAAUCUGAUAUCUACUUUGGAACAUUUUAUAAUGUGGCAUAGGCUGACAAUUGAGAUCAUAAAUUUAAAAUAAUAAAAUUUAAUUUAUUAUAAUACUAAUAUCAAUAUCNNNNNNNNNNNNNNNNNNNNNNNNNNNNNNNNNNNNNNNNNNNNNNNNNNNNNNNNNNNNNNNNNNNNNNNNNNNNNNNNNNNNNNNNNNNNNNNNNNNNNNNNNNNNNNNNNNNNNNNNNNNNNNNNNNNNNNNNNNNNNNNNNNNNNNNNNNNNNNNNNNNNNNNNNNNNNNNNNNNNNNNNNGAAAAACAUAUAUUGGUUUAAAAUUAAUAAAAAUAUUAUAAAUUAUAAUUAUUAAAAACUUAAAAUUUAUAAAAAAAAUCCUUUAAAAAAAUUUAGUUGGCUCUCCAAAUUCAAUCGGUAUUACAAUAAUUAAAACAUAGAAAUUAACAUAGAUUAGACUCGUGCUGACAUUUAUGUUUUCAUUUUUUAAAAAUUUUCUUUUAUACUUUAUAUAAAUAAAUUUUUUAUGUAAAAAGUAUUAUAAAUCAUAAUAAUUAAUAGCUUAAAAUAUUUGAAAACAUAUAAAANNNNNNNNNNNNNNNNNNNNNNNNNNNNNNNNNNNNNNNNNNNNNNNNNNNNNNNNNNNNNNNNNNNNNNNNNNNNNNNNNNNNNNNNNNNNNNNNNNNNNNUAAAUUGGGAGAAAUAUAGAUAUAUAGAUAUUUUAAGUUGCUAAUUAUUGUGAGUUAUAGUACGUUUUAUGUAAUUUUCAUAUAUAUUACUCGCUUUGUCCUGAUUUAUGUGAUACAAAUAAAAUUUCAAAAGUCAAUGAAUUUUUUAUAAGUUUCUUUUUAUAUUAACUUGUUAAUUAUUGUGAUUUAUAAUAUAUUUACGUAAAACAUACUCUAAAUAAAAAUAAUUAGCAACUUAAAAUAUAUAAAAACAUACUAAAAAUUGAUUAACUUCAAAUUUCAUAUGUACCACAUAAAUUGAAACAGAAACAGAAACAUAUAUUGGGCCCCGUGCUAGCACGUGGUUCCAUAUCUAGUAAUAAUAUAUGUGACAGUGUUUAAUUAGACACGUAAAUUAAAAAUAAAUUUAAGCUGAAAAUAUUUUAUAAAGAGUAAAAUAAAAAAUUAAUAUAAUAUUUUUUUAGAAAAAAGAUAUUUUUGAAUUAUUAAAUAAUAAUUGGGAUAAGUUUGGAUCCGUUGAACAUUAUAAAAUAAAACUAUUAACUCCUUGACACAUUACUGAAAAAAUAGUUUAAUUAUUUGUAGCAAACGUCCAAAUCUUCAAUACUUCAAUCUGCACCAAAUCAGAUCUGUGCCUUUUUUUGUUAAAAAUAAUAAUGUGAAGGUAUUUGAUUAGACACAUAAAUUAAAAAUAUAAAUUUGAGCUGAAAAUAUUUUAUAAAGAGUAAAAUAAAAAAAAAAAAUUAAAUUAAAUUAUUAAAUAUAUGAAAUUUUGUAACAAAAUAUUGUUCACUUUUUUUUUUACCUUUUAAAAAUAAAGUUUACACUUAACAAAAUUGCCAUUUAAUUAUUUUUUGAAAUAUUUAAAAUUAUGUUGUUUAUGUAACUUUAUUCUGAUUUUUUGCCAUAUGAUCAAGAUCAACCAUAUUUGAACCAUAUUUACCUGUUUAUGUCGUCAGUGCUAUGGCCGAUGUACGUCCGUUAAUACUCCUUCAGUCCUUCUGUUUUAUAUUAUUUGAAUUUGUGAGGUAAUGCAUGUUAUUUGUUAAAGAAAAAUAUUUAAGUAUAUAAUUUAAAAUAUAUUUUAAAUUAUAUAUAAUUUUGAAAGUAGUGCAAUUUAUCUCCAAAAAAUAUAAAAAUUCAUCAAAGAAAAGGACAAAUAUAAAAAUAAUAAUCAAAUAUUCAUCUUGAACUUUGAAUUAGCGGUGUCAAUGGUACGGUUCGGUUGGUUAUUUUUUAAUAUACCAUCCCAAUUUUUCGAUUAUUUUAUAAUAUUUAAUCAAAAUUAGAUUUUGUAAAACUAUUCCAAUCAUAUCGAUUUCUCUUCGGUAUCGAUAAAGUUCAGUUAAUUUUCAUUUUUUUUUACUUUUAAAAUAUCACCUCAAAAUAUACUACUAUUAAAAUAUUUCUUUCGCAAAUAUAUUCUUGAAGAAGCACUUUUAUUCUUCAUCAAGAAGACAAGAAUGUAAAACCUUAUUGCCGUAUUGUUUGAUCUUAAACAUUUAAUAGGAGUGUUUGCAUAUGUUUUGUUGUAUUGUUUGAUAGAGUAUCUAUUACAUUAUCUUUUAAUUUUAAACCUAAUUAAGCAAGAUUAAUUAAAGAGCGAAGAUCCAAAGUUGUCUAGUCACGAGAGGCCUAAGACCUAAGUUAUGUUUAUAUUUUAAAAUUAUUCUAAAGAAUAUUUAUAUAUUAAAUUUAACAUAUUGUUAAUAUAUAAAAUAUAUUUACAUGUAAGGUUAUUCGGUUCGGUUCGGAUUUUUUUUUAUUUUUUUCAUAAAUUAAAAAGAUCAUCUUAAUUGUUCGGGACAACUAUACACUUAAAUAAAAGUCCAUGAUUUUAUUGAAAAAAUAACAUAAAUCGGUUUGAUUCGUUUAGGAUUCGGUCAUUCGAUCGAUUUUUCAUAUUCUUUUGACACCCCUAUUUUGAACAAUUCAAUAAAGUAAUAAAAAAAACCCAAAAAUUUACUUAAUAUAAAAUAGAAGGAGUAUUUAAUAUCGAAGUUAUUAAUUUAAAUUACCCGCAAGAAAGAAACAAAAAUGUAGACUACGAAGAAAAUGACAUACCUCUUUUUGUUGUUGGUUAUGGUCAUCAACCAAAAAAAAUAAGAGACAAAUGGAUUACUGUGUAUAUCUAUAGCACCUCACAAUAAUUUCAACGAAUUUUACACACGUUUAUUUAUGUUGGACAGCUAUAGUUUUAGAAUAAAGCUACAUUAUCUUUUUUUAAUUUUGGCAUCUCCAAUCCUACACUCUAUUUUACUCUCCAAAUAUAGAGUUUUCUAUUUUUUAUUUCAGACAACCAACUUCAAUCCAAUUCUCUAUUUUACACUCUAAAAAUAAAUAUUUUUCUCUAUCCUCAAUAUUAUAUUAUUAUUUCUAUUUCAUUCUUAUUUUCUUAUUUCAUAAUAUAAAUCCUUUAUUUCUUUUUCCCAAUAAUUACUUUAUAUAAUUUCAUGUGAUAUAAAAUUUUAUUUUUUAAAAUUUUUUAUUUAAUAGAAAAUUAUAUUUUAUUCUAAAUUUUUAAAUAACAUAAAUUACAAGAAAAUAUUAUAUAAUAUACAAAUUAAUGGACAAAUUCAAAUAAAAGUGAUACACAAUUACAUAAACAUUACAUAAACACUCAAUUUUCAAAAUUAUUACGUUGCUCCCAUAAAUGCUCUAUUAUUGCAUUACGGAGUUCAAAAUGAGCAUUUUUGUCCUUAAUUUUUUAUGUCUAGCUAAAAGUUAUUCAAAUCGGAGAUUUUCACCUGCCAUCAUUUCUGUCGUUGGAGUUGGAACCUCUACGACAUCUUGAAUUGGUGUAUUGAGAUCACAUUCAUCCUCAAUUAUCAUGUUGUGCAAUAUAAUACAUGUAGUCAUUAUAUUAUGUAGCACUUUCCUUCUCAAAAAACGUGAGGGUCCUGCAAUAAUUGCAAAAUGUGAUUGCAUAAAACUCUGAAUGCACGUUCAACAUCUUUUCGGCAUGAUUCUUGCUUCAUCGCGAAUUAAUUAUUAUGUUAUGUAUUGUAUUUUAUCUUGUAUUUAAAUUAUUAUGUUACGUAUUGUAUUGUUAUUUUGUAUUUAAAUUAUCAUAUUAUGUAUUGUAUUUUUAAAUUAAAAUUUUCAUCUUAUCAUUUUAAUUUUGUGUAUUCUUUAUAGUGAAAAUUAAUAAUAAAAUCAAAUUAUAUUAUUGACGAAACUUAGAAAAAAAUAAAAUAAUAUUAAUUCGGGAUGAAAGUAGUAUAUAUUAAAUAAUAUAUUUUUUAAAAAUAUUAUAUUACAUUUAAAAAGAAUUAUGAAUAUUAGAUAUUUAAUUAAUUACAUUAUAUGUAAAAUAAUAUGUUAAUUAGAAAGUAAUAGAAAUAAUAAUAAAAUAUUCAAAAAGUAAAAUAGAGAGUGAUAUAGAGGUGGGUUGUAGUGCUCCUUCUCUAUUUUACUCUCCAAAUAUAGAGAAUGAAGAGUAAAAUAGAGGUGGGUUGUAGAUGGUCUGAGGACCCAAAAAGAUUAUUAAAGUACAACAAAACAGAGAAGAAAGUAUCUUUAUUAGAUGGAGACAGGGCAUAUCUUGGAGGUUUAUUUAUAGAUUAUUUUAUUUUAAGUGUUUGGUUCAUUCCUUAUCAGCUCAUUUGUAUUUGGAUUAAAAUUUUAUAAUUUUUUUUUUUUGUUCAAUUAUAUCCUUGAAUUAUUAUGCAGUUUCUUAUUUUUAAUUGGAUCAAAGUAGAUAGUUACCGGAUAAUAUUAUUUUUAAUGACCUUCUAAUGAGCUAGAAGAAGAACAAUUUUAUUUUCAAGUUUGUUAUUAUUUCACUUGAAUUAUUUGAGGGUAAAUAAUUUUCAUCUUAAUAAAUUGAUCACUCACAAAACGUUAAUUUUCAAUUCAAAGAGGAUAGACCAUCUACAUUUAGAACCGAAAAGACAGUAACAAUAGUAAAAUAGAAAGAGUUGUUUAUUGUUAAAUAAAUUCAAUAUAAAUUAAUACAAUAUUUGAAAUGUGAGUUAUUUAACAUUUAUAAGCUAAUUUUUUAAAAUAAAUUUAAUAGUAAAAAUAUAAAACAUAAAGUUAAGAAAAUAAAUAAAAUGAUUAAAAGGAUUUGAGGGAUAUUUUUAUCUUUAUAUAGAUAAUCAGUUGGUAUUAAAUCACGUUUUCACUCAUUAAGAUAAAACUAAAUCUCGGAAAAGAAGUUGAAGAGAACAAAAACAAAUACUAUUAAAUUUGAAUGGUUGAAAGAAUUAGGUGGAAGAAAGCCAACUAAAAUGAUAAGAAAGAAAGAAGGAAAGAGGAUGUGCAUACAACAUACCUAUGGUGGCUUAAUUUUCAUUGGGAAAAUUUCAGAUGAGGUCUUCCAUUUUGCAAAGCAUUUUUUCUUAAAGCUGGGACAGAAAAUAGAUCAAUGAAAAGAAAUAGGGAUAUAUCACGAAAAACACGUGUUUCAUAGAUGAAGCUUAAUCAUUUUAUUAUUGUGCCUAAAUCUCUAUAAACAUUUCUAGAAUUGGUAGACACAUUAAUCUUACAUUUUAAAUGAGAUAUUAUGCCGUAAAAACUGUAUAAGUAGAUCAUACAAUGCCGCCUUCAGUUACAAAGCUUAGAUAAGAUUGAAAAGGAAGGCGAAAACAGAUCAAGUAAAUCAUAUUUUCAUUCAUAGCAUUUGAGCUCUGUAUUCAUACUUUUUGAGAUAACUAUUAACAUUUCCACAUAAUAAAUAAUAUUAAUUAAACUAUACUAAGAAAUGCUAAUAAAGAUAUUGUCCUUUCUGUUGUAGCAUUUUGAAGCUCAUUGAUAAAGUCAUUAUUUUUUAAAAAAAAAAAUAUUGCUUUAAACUACAAAGCUUUGCCUAACAUGAUUUUGAAAUGCCAAGUCGAUUGCAAAACAUAAGAUUUCUCAUAUCUUUUUUAGUCUCAAAACUGGUGGCCUAAACUAAAUUGCUAAGAGAGGAUUACUCCAAUUUGUAACAAUGCACUGAUUUAAGAAAGUCAGAGGUCUUAUAUCAUUUACUGAUUUUAGCAUGCAACAAGGAAAGGCAUGAUCCAUACAAGCUUAUUAUGACUUUCUAAGUCAAAAUACUAUAAAAUUUAUUCAAUUUGAAUAUUGCUUUCAACUGGACUAGAACAAUAUUGAGCAUAAUAUAUUACAUAUUUGAAUCAAAAUCUAGGUGCCCAAAAAAUGAAGUUCAAUUUUAAUUUGGGGUUAUCAAAUUUUGAGUAGUUUCCUUCUUUUAUAUACUCGAGUGAAUGGAGUGACUUUCUUCUUUUAUAUAUNNNNNNNNNNNNNNNNNNNNNNNNNNNNNNNNNNNNNNNNNNNNNNNNNNNNNNNNNNNNNNNNNNNNNNNNNNNNNNNNNNNNNNNNNNNNNNNNNNNNNNNNNNNNNNNNNNNNNNNNNNNNNNNNNNNNNNNNNNNNNNNNNNNNNNNNNNNNNNNNNNNNNNNNNNNNNNNNNNNNNNNNNNNNNNNNNNNNNNNNNNNNNNNNNNNNNNNNNNNNNNNNNNNNNNNNNNNNNNNNNNNNNNNNNNNNNNNNNNNNNNNNNNNNNNNNNNNNNNNNNNNNNNNNNNNNNNNNNNNNNNNNNNNNNNNNNNNNNNNNNNNNNNNNNNNNNNNNNNNNNNNNNNNNNNNNNNNNNNNNNNNNNNNNNNNNNNNNNNNNNNNNNNNNNNNNNNNNNNNNNNNNNNNNNNNNNNNNNNNNNNNNNNNNNNNNNNNNNNNNNNNNNNNNNNNNNNNNNNNNNNNNNNNNNNNNNNNNNNNNNNNNNNNNNNNNNNNNNNNNNNNNNNNNNNNNNNNNNNNNNNNNNNNNNNNNNNNNNNNNNNNNNNNNNNNNNNNNNNNNNNNNNNNNNNNNNNNNNNNNNNNNNNNNNNNNNNNNNNNNNNNNNNNNNNNNNNNNNNNNNNNNNNNNNNNNNNNNNNNNNNNNNNNNNNNNNNNNNNNNNNNNNNNNNNNNNNNNNNNNNNNNNNNNNNNNNNNNNNNNNNNNNNNNNNNNNNNNNNNNNNNNNNNNNNNNNNNNNNNNNNNNNNNNNNNNNNNNNNNNNNNNNNNNNNNNNNNNNNNNNNNNNNNNNNNNNNNNNNNNNNNNNNNNNNNNNNNNNNNNNNNNNNNNNNNNNNNNNNNNNNNNNNNNNNNNNNNNNNNNNNNNNNNNNNNNNNNNNNNNNNNNNNNNNNNNNNNNNNNNNNNNNNNNNNNNNNNNNNNNNNNNNNNNNNNNNNNNNNNNNNNNNNNNNNNNNNNNNNNNNNNNNNNNNNNNNNNNNNNNNNNNNNNNNNNNNNNNNNNNNNNNNNNNNNNNNNNNNNNNNNNNNNNNNNNNNNNNNNNNNNNNNNNNNNNNNNNNNNNNNNNNNNNNNNNNNNNNNNNNNNNNNNNNAGAAAAACAAUAAACAAAUGUCAAAAUAGAACAGGUAAGUAUUAUUACUAAUUAAGUUCUUUAGCGUGUAAUUUAUUUAGAUGUUUCUUGCUAUAUAUAAUAGGUAAAGAUCUUACUUUUCCUUUGUAAUUCCAUUGUUUGCUAACGUUAGAUUUGUUUAAGCUUGAAUAAAUUAAUUUUCAAAAUUGUUGAUAAAUAAGUUUUGAAAUUUAAAAUUGUGUUUGGACAUACAUUUUAAUUUAUUUUUUUAAAAAAAAAAAUUGUGAGAGGAAGUGAAAAAUUCUUAAUGAGAUUUCUUUAAUUUUAGUUAUUUGUGGGAUUCAUAUUUAUAUGAUAUAAAAAUAAUAAUUAUUUUGCUAUGCCAAUACUUUUUUUAGUGAUAAAUUUGAUUGAGUGAUUUUAUUGAUAGAAAUGUCUAAGUUUAGUGAUUUUAUUGAUACAAAACAAAGUUCAAUGACUUUGCUAGAUAAAUUCUCAAAGUUGGGUGACCUUUUGAGAUAUUAACUCCAUAUUAUGCAAUACGGGGGGAAAUCAUAGGUGAAGCAGAGAUCCUUUAAGUUUGAUUAGAUUAGUUUAGGAAAAAAAAUAGAUUUUCGAAGAUGCUCGUGGUGGUUCCAUUUCAGCGAGAAAUUAAUUGAGGACUCCUUUAACGGUGUGAAUUUUUGUAUGCUUUACAUGAUAUAUCUAUUUGAGUAGCCUUUAUGUAUUAACUUUUUUUUCUUGUCAAUUACUACUACUACCUUCAUUUUAUCCCUUUAUGACAAAAGGUUAUACAUUAAAUAAAAUUUAAAGAUUUCAUGUGCAAAUUCGUUGUCAAACUUAAAUUGUUUGACUUUCGAAAAAUGAAAAGUGUCAUACAGAAGGAGUAAUAAACAAACGUGUGAAUGUGGGUGUUUAAGGAGAGAGAAUAUUUGAUAAAUUUAAUGGAGUACUACCUAAUAGCACUCCACAAAAUAUGGCACGAAUUACUAAGCGUGAGAGAGAGAGAAAAAAUCGGAUAAAGAAAUUAAAUUAAAUACAAAAAUUAAAUGUUUUGGAAUCAUAUCUGACAUGAUUUGGACAUGAUUUGGAAUCAUAUGUGACAUGAUUUGGACAUGAUUUUGACAUGAUUUGGAAUCAUAUUUAAUAUGGUCAGCACUAGUCACUACAUUUUAUACAUGUUAUUUUUGCAUAGAAACUAUUAAUUUUAUUUGUAUCAUUUUGAUUUUAUUGGAUGUUUUGAAGGUAUAUAAUUUAUAUCUACGGCACUAAAAAUACUAAAUUUUGUAUAUUUAAAGAAUAAUAUAAUAAAAUAAAGUAUUUAUUGGCCAUACCAUGUAAAUGGUGAACAAAUAAAAAUAGACCAGUGUAGUAGGUUGAUGCACCUCAAAGGAAGCAAAGACAAUAUUCAUAAAGACAGUUAGUUGGAACAGCAAGGUCAUUUUGGUAAUUACAGCUCCCCACCUCAUUGCAUAAAAUGAUGUUGCCUUAGCAUGUUUUAUACACAAAACAACACAACUAAUAAAUUCUUGAGAAAGUUCUUUAAUUUCAACUCAAAAUCUUUAAGUUUUAUUUUAUCAAAUGGCUGCGAAAAGCAGAGUUUUGAUUAUUGGAGGAACAGGGUGUAUUGGUAAAUUUGUAGUGGAAGCAAGUGCAAAAUCUGGACACCCAACUUUUGCUUUAGUUAGGGAGACCACAAUUUCUGAUCCUGUUAAGGGAAAAAUUGUUGAGAAUUUCAAGAAUUUGGGUGUCACUAUUAUUAAUGUAUGUAUAUUAUAUGGUGCAUUUGUUAAUAAAUUGUAUAUGCAAGUAUAUUUUAGUUUCUUGUUUUUUGAACAGGGUGAUUUGUAUGAUCAUGAGAGUUUGUUGAAGGCUAUAAAACAAGUAGAUGUGGUGAUAUCAACUAUUGGUCAAAUGCAAUUGGCUGAUCAAGUUAAAAUCAUUGAUGCUAUCAAAGAAGCUGGCAAUAUUAAGGUUAGUUACUUCUGGUUUUUCACAACUGGCUUUGACUCGAGACCUCUGGUUAAGGGUGUAAACUUGGGGCAGAGGGGAUGAUGGUGAUCUUGAAUAAAGUAAUUUAGUAGGGGUGUUCACAGUUUGGAUAAAAACCGAUCCAAACCGAAAAACCAAACCAAACAGAUAAAAUAAAACCGAUUUUAUUUGGGUUUGAUUUGGUUUAGUUUUAGAUUUUUGAAAACCGAUAGUAUUUGGUUUGGUUAUGGUUUUAUUCGAAAAAAAUCGAAGAAAUAACCGAAUCGAACCGAUGAAUUAUAUACAUAUAUUUUAUUAAUAUACAAUAUAUUAUUUUUGUAAACAAUAUUAAAGAUCUUAUACAUAUUUUCAUUAAAAUUUCUUUAUAAUUUACUUAUUGAAAGCAAAAAUGCCCAAGAUGAAACAUUUAUCUUAUUGAUUUCAUGUAUAUGAGUGUCUGUCAAUUCUUUGUGGAACUGAAAAUGUUAUUGUCUCUUCCUUCUAGGCCAAUAUAGUGAAUUUUAAAGCUUUAUUGAUAGUAAAUUUAGUGAUUGAAAAUUUAGUAAUUUAAGUCAUUCUAACUAUUUUUCGUUUUGAAUGGAUUGUUGUCACUUUUUUCACAUUUUAAAUGAAUUGUUUCUUUUAUUUUUGUGUAUGGUUAAUAACCGAAUAACCGAACAAAACCAAACCAAAACCGAUAAUCACCAAACCGAUAAAUGUAUAUUAUAUUUGGCUUGGUUUGGUUUUGAUAAUUUUAAAACCGAUUAAAUUGGUUUGAUUUUGGUUUUGACCAAUAACCGAUCCAAACCAACCCGUGAACACCCCUAAUAAUCAUCUAAAUAUUAAAAGUCCCUCAAUUAAUGUAUAUAGGGUAAAAUUUGGAUUCGAUUGGUAGAUUUAUUAGGAGAUGACAUGCGAAAAAUGAAACAGGUCAGAUGUGAUUAGGGGCGGAUCUACGUAGGGAUACUUCAAUAAUGUUGAUGGUUGCGUGUUGGAUCAUCCAAAAAUAGUGUAUUUUUGAAGGAUCUAACAUGGGUUCAGCAAUAUAUUUGGAGAGUCCGAGCAACAUACCCUCUAAUUAAGGGAGUAUUCAUCUCGUUGAUUUAAGGUAAUAAAAUGAGUUAGAUUACUAAUUGUUCACAUGGCCUAGUGGAGCAUCUUGAUCUGCAUAACCAAGUGUAUGACAGAAAUAUGCAGCAAGUUCGCGUAAAUGCCUCAAAUUUGGAAGAAUAUUUCACUAGAGAAUCUGAAAAUCGUUUUAAUGACUUCCUUUCAAAAAUUAAGAAAAACAUUUUCCAAAACUCUCCUCCAAUUUCAAAUUACAAUUUUUUUUGUUGAAAAAAUAAAUUUAAAGCUUAUUUUAAAAAAAAUAUUUUCAACUUCAAAUAUUUUCACAGAGCUAAAUUAUCUUGUGCUAAAAAAAAUUCAGAGGUUCUUCCCUUCAGAGUUUGCUAUGGAUGUCGAUAGGAUCAAUGCUGUGGAGCCAAUAAAGUCUACAUUUGUUGUGCAAGCCCAAAUCCGAAGAGCUGUUGAGGCUGCAGAAAUUCCCUAUACUUACGUCUCAUGUAACUAUUUUGCUCGUUAUUUCAUACCAAAUUUGGCUCAGCCAGGAGCCACUGCUCCUCCUCGAGACAAAGUCAUCAUUCCUGGAGAUGGGAAUGUUAAGGGUAAGUCGAAAAAAAUUACUCCAUUGAUUUGAAUUUGGUACGCGUGCCAACAGAACAAGUUCAUGAUAAAAUGUCUCAUUUUUGUCUGCAGCUGUAUUCAAUGAAGAACAUGACAUUGGCACCUACACCAUUAAGGCUGUUGAUGACCCGAGAACGUUGAACAAGACCCUUUACAUCAGGCCUCCCAAGAACACCUUAUCGUUCAACGAGCUUGUGGCUAUAUGGGAGAAACUGAUUGGUAAAACUCUCGAGAAAAUCUACGUUCCAGGGGAGCAAAUUCUCAAAGACAUCCAGAGUUAGUAAUCUUUAUAUCAUUCAUCUGUUUCUUUCAAUUUAACAUAGGUAAUCCUGACAAUGUAUAUUGCAUACUGUUGCAGCAUCUCCGAUACCAAUCAAUAUCAUACUAUCAGUCAACCACUCAACAUUCGUGAACGGUGAUCAUACCAAUUUUGAGAUAGAGCCAUCGUUUGGGGUUGAGGCCUCGGAAAUUUAUCCAGAUGUUAAGUACACCACCGUGGAGGAGACCUUGGUCACGUUGUCUGAACUACACGUUUGAUGUCUUCGAUAACUCGAAUAAACUGUUAGAUGAUGAGUGUUGUCAGACAUUUUGUCUGGAAGUAUGAGUGCUUGUUAACUAUGUCAUCAGAGACGGGUUGAAUGGUAUGUUUUAAGUCUGUUUUUUCUGUCCAUACUGCAUAGUACUAUAAUGAAUAUGGAAGACAUUCGCGUUUUUCUUCUUUUUGCAUUGUUGCUCUACCAUCUUGUGCCAGAUUUUAAGGUGUUAUGUAAUAGGGGUGGCAAAUGGUUGGAUUGGAUCGGAUUUGGAUGGAUUGAACAAAAAUGGUUUGGAUUACAAUCCACCCAAAUAUAAUAUGGGUAAAUAUGGAUUUGAUCAAAUAUGGUUUGGGUAAAAUGGUUCUAACACAUUUAAAACCUCUCCAUAUUUCCUUGACUAAGUGAACUGGGACUUCAUGACAUCAAUUUACCCCCUUCCCCGGGGCGCCCCCCACCUUCCACCAACCGACCCCUAAUUUUUUUUUGUUUUCCAAAAACAAAAAAAAAUAUUUUGUUUUUCAAAAAAAAAAAAAAUUUACCCCCUCCCCCCGUCCCCCUCCCUUCCACCAACCUACCCUUAAAUUUUUUUUUGUUUUUCAAAAACAAAAAUAAAUGUUUUUUCAGUUAAGUUUGAAAAUUAAUUGAAUUUUUGAAAAUUAAUCUUAAAUUCUUUUAUUUUUUAGCACAAUUAAGAAUUUUGAGUGAAAGUGAAAACUAAGUGAUCUAUCCAUAUUUUAUCUAUUUUGAUCAUAUCUGUAGAGACUCUUAAUAUAGCUUGAAGCCCAUAUUUACCCAAUUAAAAUAUGAGUGAUCCAAGUCAUUAAAUAUGAAUAAAAUAGACUCAUUUCGUUAAUAUGGGCUGAAAUUGUCACCCUAAUAUGAAAGAGUCUUGUUGUCAAUAAAGAUCAAUCACAGAGGACUCUCUCCUGUUUAUAUAUGAGGCUCACUCAUUUCAGUUAUCUCUAGCUUUCUUAUGAGUUCAGGUAUCGUAUGGAAUAUAAUCCACGGAUCAUUAGGAACCUAUGUAAUAGUAUCCCAAUCAAAUAGCUGAUGAGCGGAUAAAUAGUGAUUGGAAAAUAUUGUCAAUUUGGUCUGAUGAUUUUACGUGAUGAGUUAUUACCCUACCAAUCUAACAUUAUCAUUCAUGCUUUAGUCAUACGCCAGGAAAACCUUCCAACUUCACCUAACUUUUGUUAGGAAGAAUAUGCUGCUUCACUCUAGAAUGGAUCAUGAUCCUUUCUUAAGUAAAGUGGAGAUCUUUACGCGAAUAGCCGAGCAGAUUUACUGUUUACUUUUUAGAAGGCCACAUUUUAUGAUCUUUGUUUGGAGCUCACUCAAGCUAUAAUUAUGCUAUGAAUUAUAUAUAUUGAAAAAAUAAUGAGUAUUGAACGUAUCGUUUCAAGUUUCUCCCAUUCUUUUUGGCACAUUACACUAUGAAGUGAACAUCUCCCACAUUCAUCAACAAAUUCAAUUUUUAUACCACUUCUUCUUUAAAAAUCCCAAAAUUCAUCCGUCUGCCUAUUUACGCUAUCGGAGAACCCACAAGCUUUGUCAACCUAUGGUAGCAUCUAGCGAAGCAAUUAUCGAUGCAUUUUAAGAAAAAGUUCAAGCUCUUCUAAAUCUUGUUCAUGAUCGUUUCCAUGGAAUGAUUAAUAGUUAAUAUUCUGAACUCAUCGAUUUAAUAUUUUCGUCAAUAGAUUCACUCAUAUUUUUUGCCAAUGGUGGUGUAGUGAUUUGGAAGAAGCAAGAUAUAAGUAAAAUGAAAGUGCAGGUUAGGUUAGUAAUGGUGUAAUGGGUGUGGUGAGUUUGCAGGAAGAGUGGAGAAGAAGAGAAAUAAAUUAGAAGUUAAUAUUAAAGAAAAUGAAGAGUUUGUUGAAGGCUAUAAAACAAGUGGAUCUGGUGAUAUCAACUGUUGGUGCAAUGCAAUUCCGCUGAUCAAGUUAAGAUCAUUGAUGCUAUCAAAGAAGCUGGCAAUAUUAAGGUUAAUUACUUCUUGUUUUUCGAAACGGGGUUGAACUCGAGACCUCUGGUUAAGGAUGGAGGGAUCUUAUUUAUCUGUAUGCAACAUGGGACAGAGGGGAUAAUGGAGUAUGGGGAUCUUGAUUACAGUAAUUGUUGAUGAAAAUUCUUGAAUUUAUCGAUAAACAUUUGAAUUAGAGAAUUUGGCUUAAAUCUAUGUUGCUCAGAUACUUCAAUAAUGUUGAUGGUUGCAUGUUGGAUCGUCCAAAAGUAGUGUAUUUUUGGAGGAUCCAACAUGGGUUCAGCAACAUAAUUGGAUAGUCCGAGCAACAUAGCCUCCAAUUAAGGGAGUAUUCGUCUCGUUGAUUUAAGGUUAUAAAAUGAGUUAGAUUACUAAUUGUUAACAUGGCCUAGUGGAACAUCUUGAUCUGCAUAACCAAGUGUAUGACAGAAAUAUGCAGCAAGUUCGCGUAAAUGCCUCAAAUUAGGAAGAGAUGAACGCUGUGGAGCCAAUAAAGUCUACAUUGGCUGUGAAAUCCCAAAUCCGAAGAGCUAUUGAGGCUGCAGAAAUUCCCUAUACUUAUGUCUUAUGCAACUGUUUUGCUGGUUAUUUUUUAGCAACUUUGGUCCAGCCAGGAGCCACUGCUCCUCCUCGAGACAAAGUCAUCAUUACCGGAGAUGGAAUUGUUAAGGGUAAGUCAAGAAAAAAUCCUUAGGUGGUGACUCCAUUGAUUUGAAUGUGGUACGUGCGCCAACAGAACAAGUUCAUGACAAAAUGUCUCAUUUUUGUUUACUUUUUUUCUGCUUUGUUUCUGUUUGUCUGCAGCUGUAUUCAAUGAAGAACAUGACAUUGGCACCUACACCAUUAAGGCUGUUGAUGACCCGAGAAUGUUGAACAAGUCCCUUUACAUCAGGCCUCCCAAGAACACCUUAUCGUUCAACGAGCUUGUGGCUAUAUGGGAGAAACUGAUUGGUAAAACUCUCGAGAAAAUCUACGUUCCAGAGGAGCAAAUUCUCAAAGACAUCCAGAGUCAGUAAUCUUUAUAUCAUUCAUAUUUAGUCAAGACUACUGUUUCUUUCAAUUUAACAUAGGUAAUCCUGACAAUGUAUAUUGC
rnacentral:lncRNA from 1 species